rnacentral:lncRNA from 1 species
CAUUGAGGAAUUGCGAGUGUUGGAAGGUCUUAAUAUUUAUACUCAGUCAACGGAAUUUCUAAAGAGGCUUGGCCAACUCAAAAAACUGAGGAAGCUGGGCAUAAUAUGGAACAUGUAUGAUAUGGGUAAUUGUGAUGUUAAUUUCGAAAAAGAGGAGGAGGAGAUCGAGGAGGAUGAGGAGGAGUUUCUCUCUUCCAUUUGUGAGCUCGGCAAAGCAGGCCUUCAGUCUCUGCACAUCUAUGUAAAGGAAGCAGCGGAUGAGUAUUUCAAGCGUUCAUGGUUUCCCGAUCCACAGUGCGGCCUUCGUGAGCUUAUCAUCGCGGGGGACUACGUGUCGGAGGUUCCGACAUGGGUGGCCUCACUCGUCAACCUUGAAAAACUAUGCAUCACAAUGAAAGUGAUCAAUGCGAGAGACGUGGAGAUACUCAGAAGCUUGCCCAGGUUGCGCCAUCUUCGCCUUAGUGUGGAUGAUGAUGAAGUAUCUGUGCCGCAGGCUGUUGUGGAGAAAGCGAUGGAGGAACAUCCUAACCGUCCCACCUUGGUUUGGUUUGUGGAUUAGCUCUGGGAUUUUUGGCUACUUUUCAGGUAUCAUUUUCUUCAUUUUCCUGCUAAUAAAUUAACACUUAUUAACUGAUGUCUUCUUUGUCACAAAAAAAUGUUUUCUUAUUUUUUUGGAAUGUAAUCCUUCUUCUUUUUUCCUCUAUCAUGUUGCAUAAUAGAUUUAUAUAUUUUUAACGUGCUAAGCUGUUUUCAUACACUUGUAGGUGUUGAUAAAAGAUGAGAGGAGCCAGCGAAACCAAAGUUCGUGCUACAUCCUCCAGUUGGUACCAUUGCGUUUACACUUUUGCUUUGGUACAUCCCCCAAUCAAAUGUAAAAGGAGAAACAUAUAUCCACCUCAUAUUGUACACUAUUGUAUACUACAGACAACCAUACGUAUACCCACCUCGUAUUGCAUAUGUACAGUAGCCUGUAGUGUACAAUACAAGGUGAUUUUGGUUUAAGUGUAAAUUCAUAUGUAUUAACAUGAAUUCACAUGUAUAUUCACACUAUUUAUUAUUAAAUAUUGGUACGUUACUUAUUGUUUUAUAUAAUAUUUCCUAUUUAUAAUGUUGGUAGUUGGUGGUGAAUGCACGACCUUGUGAUUCUGGGACAUGGCCCCCGUAUUGAAGUAGCGACGCCGAAGCCGAGAGGUCGCGUCCGCCUGCACCGUCUUUCCGUUCGAGAAAACCCGUGUUAAUUUGGUGUGGAAUUUCUCUAAACCAAAUCUUGAUGAAUGAUUCUCAGUUAUAAAGCGAAAACAUAGUUUUAUUAGUCUCAAGUUUAACUCAUUGGCUGCAUGUUGUUUGUUUUUUUAAUCAAACCGGUUCAAUGGUUCCUCCUUUUUCUUCUCCCUUUUCUACUAGUCAUCACCGUGUUGGUUGGAAUGACAAAUAGAAGCACUUUGUCAAUGCAAUGGUGCUAGCUACUCAACUGCAACUCAAAGAAAAGGAGGUUCUGCUUGUUUUUAUUUCCAUAUAUGAAAGAGCAAGGGUGAUAAACAAGCACUUCAGAAAUCGCAAUAAAAAUAAUACAAGUCGGAUGUUUCAACGCGGGUUUUCUCUUCAACUCCUGCUUCUCUUCUUCAGACUUGAGAAACAGGCCACUGCAUAAAGAGAACGACGACGACAGAAUUUCUCUCGUCUGAUGAGCAGGUCACGUGGUGGAUCCACCCCAAGGCGGGUUUUCUCUUCAAUGUGAUGCCUCUUCCCGCUCGAGCCAAAUCAAGAGUUGGAAAGAAUUAAUUUGUUUGCUUGCUAUCAGCGGGACAAGAAUUUUAUCACUUAAAACGUACCUGGAAAAUGCAGAAGCGAAGAGGACUUGAAACGCACCUUGAAAUCUUCUCUUUCUCUUUUCCAGAGAGGGAUGGCCUUGAAAUCUUUUCUGAAAGGUUAACCUUGAAAUCCUAAGAACAUCUUCAAUAGAUGAUCCAAAUGUAAAAAUAACUAACUUUUGAACCGUCUGGGGCAAAAAACGGUGCUUCAACACAUGGUCCAUAUGUAAAAAAAUUGGACCGCGGCCUCCUGGUGAUGUAAAAUCCAACACCUCGCGAUACAAAUUUACAUCACGAGGUGCAUCUGGUCCAAAACCAGCCGCCGCCCGCGAACGCCCAACCGCCACUUCCUUUCCGUUCCCGCCCGCGCCCGUCCGCCCGCCCGAAGACCAGUCGGCCGGAAUCCGCCGCCGCGACCGCCGAAAACCACGCCGUCGGCGCCGCCACCACCCCAAAUCCCUGCCGCCGCCCUCCGCCGCCGUCGCCUCCCUCGCCGGUAGCCGGCUCGCAGCCGCCCGGACGCCGCCGAAUCGGGAGGCAGCUGGCGUGGGAUUAGGCGCCUCCGGCGGUCCGGCUGCCGCGGUAGGCCUCCGUCGGGUCUAAGGCUGCCGCCGACCUCGUCCCCGUCGGUCGUGAGCGUGUUCACGGCCGUUGUGCCGGCCGCACGACCGUCGCACGAAGCCCUCCGCCCGGCUGCCGAAGUACUGUUCGCCGCCCGCCGAGCUCCUCUUGGCCGGCCUCGAAGCUCUUUUCUUAUCACCGCCGCCAUCCGUCCGCAGCCGUCAGCAGCAGCCAAUCCAACCGUCCGGAGGAAACUAUGUUGUAUUUGUGUUGCAUUUUAUCUCCUGGAUCUGAAAAACUAUGUAAUAAUUUGAUAUUGUGGACAUGAAUUUUUUUAUGUUGUUUCAAAACAUGUUUUUAUGCAAUAUGUGCGGCUGUACAGUGGCUGGACAGCGGCUGAACAGCACACGCGCGGCUGCUGGCCGGGUUUGGACCAUGAAUUUGGACCAUCUAUUGGAGUUGGUCUUUUGGACCAUGAGAAUUUGAACCAUCUGUUGGAGUUGGCCUUUUUUCAAAGCUCCAAAACGUACUUUUUGGCGGUCCAAAUUUUACAUCUUCGAUUUUAGACCGCUAAAUUUUGAACCAUCUAUUAGAGAUGCUCUAAGUAUUUAGCUAAAAACUACCAUAAUACGACCAACCAUAACAGAAACGUACCACUUUGAGAACAAAUGUCCAGAAAUAUCAUUUUCGGACUAAUAUUUAGCAUAUCAUGCUAGAAAAGUGUCCGGUUAGAUGUUCUUAACCCCGUUUAUGAUAUGUUGGACCCACUCGUCAGCGCUGACGUGGCACAGUAAUCAACUAUUUUUAUUUAACCAUUAUGUUAACUUUUAUGACAGGUGGGACACAUGUCUUAGUUGUCUUCUUCAUCUUUCUUCCCCGGGGCGUGCUAGGCCGCAUCCGACUGCAACGAACUAAAACAGCAUCCGCCUCCUCAGCCAUCAGAUAACGAGAUCUCCGCGCGCCCCGCAACGCCUCUCCCCUCCAUGGUCCGUUCAUCCCUGCUACAGAACUACUCCCACCAAGCAAGGCAUCUGUGCAACCAACUCGAGUGAUGGCCUGCUCGCCUAGCGGCGCAAUGGCAGGUGACCAACUCGCCCACUAUUGGCCCCGACGACGUCCACAGGUAUGAACUUCUUGAAGAAAUGUCCAGAGAAAAAUGCUUGGAGAAGGAAGAAGAGAAUUGAUCCUUACAUGUGGGUCCCACCUAUCAUAACACUCAACAUAACAAUCAAUCUAGUGGAGUUGACUACUCUGCCAUGUCAGAACUAACGGGUUGGCAGAAACAUAUCAUAAACAGGUUUAAAAAGUUCUUGUAGGGUUUAGGGUUUUAGGACAGAGCACGCGGGGGGAGGAGUUGGCAUGGGUGAGCACGUCGGAGAGGGAGCCGCACAACACCGAGAUCGACGUGUCCAUGCCCCGUUGCAUUGUGGCAGCGGCGGCGGCGACGGGUCACGGAGUUGGGGCGGGAGGAGGGGAGUUGGGGAAUGAUUCCUCUCUUUCUAUGGCGGGUUCGAAUUUUCAGUGCAGGCGGCAGGGAAAUGAAAUGGGUUGGUCGUUUCCUUUUCCUUUUUCGCCUGUUUGUUAAGCUCCAUCCAGCCCAGCGAUUUAAAUUGGUGUGUUUGGUUGCAUGGACUGUCGUCGAUUCUUGGUCCGUACGAACCUCAGAGCCGGUACAUAUUUCUCUCCCCCUUAAGCUAUGGUUCCAUAGGCUUAAGGGAGAGAGCAAUAUGUACCGGAUCUAAGGUUCAUACGGACCAAGAAUCGAAGGCAGUCCACGCAACCAAACAUACUAAAUUCACAUCACCAGGCCUCGUUGGAAUGGAUGCAACAUAGAGCAUCUUGAGCUACGCCCCCAACAUUCCCCCCAGGGCGCCUUUUUUACCGCCAGCGCCGAAAAAAAGUCCCACCCGCACCCCAGAUCCUCGUUUUGCCAGUUCGGGCUGAAAUUACAACCGGCAAACCCAGGUUGAACCCGGUGAGCGGCGUCUUAGGCGACUUGAUCGACGGGUUAGGCGAUCUAGCACACUGAGAUGAGCGAGUUGGUUGGGCUGCUCCGGCGAAUUUGGGAGUGAGUAGUGUUUUUAGGCAACUUGGUCGACGAAUGAGGCGACCUAGCACACCACGAUACGCGAGUUGGUUGGGCUACUCCGGCGAUUUUGGAUAUGAGUGGUGUCUUAGGCGACUUGAUCAUCGGGUUAGGCGACCUAGCACAACGGGAUAGGCGAGUUGUUUGGGCUACUCCGGCGAUUUUGGAUGUGAGUGGUGUCCUAGGCGACUUGAUCGACGGGCUAGGCGAGCUAACACACCGGGAUAGGCGAGUUGGUUGAGUUGCACCAGUGAUUUUGGAAGUGAACGUGUUUUUAGGCGUCUUGAUCGACGGGUGAGGCGACCUAGUAGACCAGGAUAGGCGAGUUAGUUGGGGUGCUCCAGCGAUUUGGGGGGCUUGUAGUAUUUUUAGGCGACAUGAUCGGCGGGUGAGGCGACCUAGCACGCCAGGAUAGGCGAGUUGGUUGGGCUGCUCCGACGAUUUUGGGGUUUUUAGUGUUUUUAGGCGACUUGCUCGACGGGUGAGGCGACCUAGCACACCGGGAUAGGCGAGUUGGUUGGGCUGCUCCGGCGAUUUUGGCCGUUGUAGUGUUUAUAGACGGCUUUAUCGGUCGGUGAGGCGACCUAGCACACCGGGAUAGACGAGUUGGUUGAGCUGCUACAUAUUCUGAAAAAAAAUGAUUCUAAAGAUGUACGAGGUUGCCUGAUUCUGGAAAAAUAAAUAAAUUCCCUACAUAAUAAAUAGUUUGCGAGGUUUUUGACUAAUUCUGACACGAGACCAAAAAAAAUGUGUGGUCUUUACCUCGCCAUUGUAUUGAUUUGGAAAGUCUUCCAUCUUAACCCACUGUAAAACUUGCCUACAAAAAAGAUUCACUGACAGAUGUCAAUCAAAAAAUUUACCCUCGAUUGCUGCUGGAGAAACUACUACUAAUCUAAAUGGUAAAAGCUUGCCCUCCAGUACUAGUGUACCCUGAAAAGGAUUCAGUUAAUGUAAUCUGCUUCAGUUAGUGCUGUUAGAGAAACUACUACUACAAGUCAAGUAACAAGGUCCAGAAAGAUUCAGUCAAUGUACCCUGAAAAAGCAAUGUAAUGUGCAUGCAGAAAACUGAUUAAUUUAUGUCUAGUGUUUGUGGGAUACAACCUGAAAAAUGUCUACAAUCUUAUACAAACCAGUAUCUUCUAUCUUUCUUGUGACGCUGAAAUGACUGAAUUGAUUUGGGUUUUCAAGUUCCCAAAAAUCGGAAAUAUGUAAAAAACCAACUAAGCUUCAUACUACACACGAAGAUUAGUCCAAAACAGCCACAAAAUGAAUAACUACAGCUCUAACUGAAGCAGAUUAGCAGCACUAUCAGGGAAACUUGCCUAUUCACGAUGGACAGUGUUUGUAAAACUUGCCUGCUUACUGGAGAAACUAUUGUGCAUAAACGGGCCUAACCCGCUGAACAAAAAAUGCCUACAUUUCAGUGUUGUAAAUCAAAAAUUUGCCCUCUAAUGCUGUGAGAAAUGCUUGUCUUCCUGAUCGACGAGUAUUGUAAAAAAGUUGCCUGCUACUGGAGACAGUAAUACUGCAUAUGUGACUAAUACAUUGAAUAAAUUUGCUUACAUCCCCUGUGCACUAACAAAUUACCGCUAAAAACCUGCACACCACCACCCCACGAUGCUAACAUGUGCUAUGAAAACCCACUAAAAUUACCUCCCCCUGAAUUGUGAUGCGCUACAAACAAAUUCGAUAGAGAUUCCGCUCUCUAUUCCAUAGUGUGCUACCAACAAACAACGAGACGAAAAGUGGAGGGAUUAAACGCGGGAUCUUAACUCAUCGACUACCAUCUCGAGCGACACACCUGACCCCCCCCCCCGCCNNNNNNNNNNNNNNNNNNNNNNNNNNNNNNNNNNNNNNNNNNNNNNNNNNNNNNNNNNNNNNNNNNNNNNCUCCCCUCCCGCUGUAGUAAUUAACCUAGUUGUAGUCUAAACGUACACGUGUGUCCUAUUUUAAUUAGUAUUGCAAACCGAGUAGGAUUAGUAGUAUUGCAAACCGAGUAGGAUUAGCAGUAGCCUAUGCUUACCAUUAUAUAUGCGCCUACCCAGCUCUUGUAAGAUCAGAUCAAAGCAAUACAAAGUAUUUCAUCUAUCUAGCUUAAGUCGCUGAGUUAAGUUCCGAGCCGUCGAGACGAUCGAUCAAUUGAUCACAAGCUGUGUAUACGUGCGUGUAUUGCUAUAUCCAUCAAGCUGCUUGCUUGGUUGGUUGGCUAGCUUUCCACGUUCGUGUAUAGCUUUCGGGUGAUUUGGUCUACGGGAUCAAAAGCCAACAAUUGGUAUCUAGAGCCUCGACGAUCUACGAUCUACGAUGACGGACAGCGACGCUGAGUCGGUCGAGUCCGGCAGCGGCGGUGCCAGGGCGAACAAGAACGGCGACAAGGUGAAGAAGGACGUCAAGUCAGCAACCAGUGGUGGAGGAACGAGCGGUGCCAACGUCCAGGCGCAUCGCAACAUCCCCAUCCAGUACCCGAUGCUCACCGACGCCAACUACGGCGUGUGGGCGGUGAAGAUGAAGAUUAUUCUUCGAUCCCUUCGAGUGUGGGAGGCCAUCACGGACGACGACGUCGACGAGGAGCGCGACGAAGGUGCCAUGGCCGCCAUAGCCCAGUCUGUGCCGGAUUCCGUGUUGAUGACAUUGGCGGAGUUCGAGAUGGCAAGAAAGGUGUGGAACGCACUCAAGGAGAUGAGGAUCGGAGAAGAUCGCGUCACCAAGGCAAGGGCACAAGUGCUGAAGCGCCAAUUUCACAAGUUGCAGAUGGAGGAAACUGAAUCGGUGAAUGACUACGCCAUGCGUCUUACUACUUUGGUGGGAGAGAUCCGCGCGCUUGGUGCAAAGCUCGAUGAGACCGAGAUCGUGGAGAAGUUUUUCAGUUCAGUCACUGAUAAAUUCACGUACAUCAUCGGCACACUCGAGCAGCUUUACGACAUCGACGACAUGACCAUAACGGAGGCGAUCGGACGAUUACGGACAUGGGAAGAGAAUGCUCGUGGCUGUCGGAAAGGAAAAGGAGGAGGUAGUGACCAACUCAUGUACUCGCGCGUAGAUUGGGAGGCCCCAAGUAGCAAAGGAAGGCGUGACGGUGGCGAAGGCUCAAGCAACACGAAGGGCGAUGGACAAACCGGAAAAGGCAAAGGAAAAGACAAACCACAAGGUCGUGGUAAGGCGGUCAAAUCUAAAGAGCAGAAACCAUGGAACUUGGACUUGUCCGAGGUCAAGUGCUAUAACUGCAAUAAGAUGGGUCACUUUGCGAAGGAUUGUCCAAAUCCUAACAAGCGGGAGAUCAAGGCAAAUUUGGCAAAGCAGGAAGACGAAGGUCCAGGUCUUCUGAUGGCCGAAGUUUAUGAUCUUGCUGAAACGGUGGUUGUGAAACCAAGCCGGAAGGUGCUACUUCAUGAGGAAAAAGUGACACCAAAGUUAUCCGGUGAUCAGAACGUGUCGUGGUAUCUCGACACGGGUGCCAGUAACCACAUGACGGGGUGCAAGGAGAAAUUCCUCGAGCUGGAAUACGAUGUUGAAGGCUCGGUCAAGUUCGCUGAUGGUUCAGCUAUGGAGAUUUGCGGGCAAGGAUCUAUCCUCUUUGAGGGUCUCACAGGCGAACAUCGCAUACUCACCGGAGUGUACUACAUCCCACGGCUGCGCAACAACAUCAUCUCUAUUGGGAAGCUUGACGAGAAUGGAUGCAAGGUGAAUAUAGAGAGCGGAGUGAUGACGAUCUUCGACAACCUCCAAAACGUGCUAGCUCGUGUUAAUCGCACACGGAAUAGGCUCUAUAUCCUCGACCUUGAUCAAUCUCAACCGGAGUGUUGGCUUGCCAAGAGUGAUGAUGAUUCGUGGUUAUGGCAUGCUAGAUUUGGACACAUUAACUUCUACGCCUUGAAGAAGAUGUCAAAGAUGGAGAUGGUAUCCGGGAUGCCAGUUAUCGACCAUGUUGAUCGAGUAUGUGACGGGUGCUUGCUUGGAAAACAGCACCGCAGGCCAUUCCCUACUCAGUCUACCUAUCGUGCAAGUGAUGCACUCGAGCUGCUCCAUGGUGAUCUAUGUGGCCCUAUCACCCCGGCAACUCACGCUGGAAAGAAGUAUUUAUUCCUUGUGGUAGACGACUACUCGAGAUAUAUGUGGGUCAUUCUCCUACGAUCUAAAUAUGAGGCGUUUGAAGCGUUCAAGAAGUUGAAGGCUGCAACAGAGAUGGAACACAAGCUGAAGGUUCGCGCUCUACGGACAGAUCGCGGCGGAGAGUUUACGUCGAAUGAGUUCAACGACUACUGCGAGAAGAUUGGCAUAAAGAGGUUCCUCAUGGCACCUUACAUGCCGCAGCAGAAUGGGGUCGUUGAAAGGCGCAAUCGAACCGUCAUUGACAUGGCAAGGAGUUUACUCAAGAGCAAGAACCUGCCGGGGACACUUUGGGGAGAAGUUGUCUCGACGGCGGUCUAUCUUCUCAACCGGGCUCCAACGAAGGCGGUGGUCAGCAAGACUCCGUAUGAAGCAAUUUACGGACGUAAGCCGAAUGUGUCUCAUCUACGGACGUUCGGGUGUGUGGCACAUGUGAAGACGGCGGAGCCGCAUCUCUCAAAGCUUGCCGAUCGUAGCACAAAGAUGGUGUUCAUCGGAUACGAGAGGAGUUCCGGCACCAAGGCAUACCGCUUCUAUGAUCCACAAACCAAGCGUCUACGGAUUUCACGUGACGUCGUGUUUGAAGAAAACAAAGCGUGGAAUUGGAGUGCAGCAGCCGACAAUGCUCCAAACGGUAACAUAUUUGCAGUUGAAUUUCCAACUAAUGAUGAUACAGGGGAGGAUGUCCAAGUGGUUGGCAAGACACCCAACCAUGGUGACCACAAUGGUAGUGAUCAUCAUGGUGCCGACACCGACGACGACGCGCAUAGGUCGCAAGGAGAUAGCGACAACGCCGCGCACGACACAUGCGGAGAUCUCGACGACAACAUCGACAACGAGGCGCAUAGUGACGACGACAAUCAAGAUGAUGAUCACGGUCACGACGACUACGCCGAUGACACGGAUGUUGAUGACACACCAGGGUCUCGGCCGUCUUCCUCAAGUGCAUCAACACCGACAUAAUUUGUGUCGCCUCCUUCGCAAGCCACAACGGACUCCUCAGGGCCUCGUCGCUACAAGACCCUCAAGAAAGUCUACAAGUACACAAAGCCAGUUACGCUCGAGUACUCCGGACUAUGUCUGUUCGGAGUUGAGGAGCCGGCGAACUUCGUAGAGGCGAGCAAAAGUCCUAGCUGGACGCACGCCAUGGAUGAGGAGAUGAUGGUGUUGGAAAUAUGCCCUAAAUGCAAUAUAAAUUAUUUAUUAUUAUAUUUCUUAGUUCAUGAUAAUCGUUUAUUAUCCAUGNNNNNNNNNNNNNNNNNNNNNNNNNNNNNNNNNNNNNNNNNNNNNNNNNNNNNNNNNNNNNNNNNNNNNNNNNNNNNNNNNNNNNNNNNNNNNNNNNNNNGUUGCGACGUUUGAUACACACAAAGCAUUCCUCCGGUGUCAGUGAAUUAUAUGAUCUCAUGGACAUAGGAAUAAAUACUUGACACGCAGAAAACAGUAGCAACAAAAUGACACGAUCAACAUGCUACGUCUAUUAGUUUGGGUCUAGUCCAUCACAUGAUUCUCCUGAUGAUGUGAUCCCGUUAUCAAGUGACAACACUUGCCUAUGGCCAGGAAACCUUGACCAUCUUUGAUCAACGAGCUAGUCAACUAAUAAUAACUAAUUUAUUAUUGCCUCUAGGGAAUUUAUAGCAUGGAUAAUAAACUAUUAUCUUGAUACAGGAAUUAUAAUAAUAACUAUACAUUUAUUAUUGCCUCUAGGGCAUAAUUCCAACAAUUUGCUUCUCGGUGUAUUCCGGGCGGGGCUCGGGUUCCUUCUUUUUUAUCUGCACAUUAUCAUGUUCCUUUGCUAUCCUGGCGUUUUCCUCGGGGGUACGAUCAUAAGGUCUGAUAGGAAGAUUAGCAUGAGGUACCUUUGGGAGGGGCGACAGUUUGCGCUUUAGGGGGCUCCGUCGCUUAGAAAUCGUCGGCGGAGCGUUCUUGCUGGCACGCUUCCGCUUAGUAUCCGGAGCGGGAGGCGGCGGAGACGGACGACCCAAGUCCGGCGACGGUGAUCGAGAUGGACUCGUGUUGUGCUGGCCGACGUCAUGUGGAGGGCUUGGAUGUGAUGGAGGUGUAGGUGACCUGCGACGACUCGGAGGCAGUGUUGUCCUUGGGGCCGAGCCUGGAAGCUUGAUGUAGUUCUUGUCCCAUAGGAUGACUCCACCCAGUACUUCUCCGAGUGUCCUCUGAUCUUCCGGUCCAGCUAUGUCGAGCUCCAUAUCAUGAAACCCCGUCAUGAUUUCAUCCACCCCGACUUUAGCAAAGCCAGCUGGAAUCUCAUGACCAUGCCAGCGUGCAUCAGGGCCAGAAGGUAAAGCUUGUCCGACGACCACCUUCAUGGAUAUGUUCUUGAAUUUCUGAUGGAGUUCACAUGAUGUUGACUCCUUGAUUCCAUCCACGGGGUAGCCGGGACCUCCCUCUAUCAUUCUUCGUGCAUCGUCGGGCAGGGCCUCAGAUUCAGCCACGCUGCUUUUCCGCUUAGAUGGGGCGCCGGUAAUAUCAAGUGCAGGAUCUUCCUGGCGCGCUACUCCUCUAAGCUCAUCAAUCUGCUUCUGUUGCUCGUUAAUCCUGGCAAGCAACUGGUUGAACUUGUCAUUCUCCUCAUCGUGCUGCCGCUUCUUUGCUCUCGCUCGGCUUCUGUAAGUGUCUUCGUCUCUGGCAAACCCAAGCCACCACGGGUAAGAAGGACCGAAGCCUCGCGUUCGUCCUCCAUGUUCGUCAUUGCCGAGGACCAGUGUGAGCAAAUCAUUCUCUCUAUCUGCAGUGAAAUUUCUUUUUCCCUCCUUAAUUUCUUUCACUAUCUUUUUCCAAUUCUCCCUGGGUAUCCUAAGAUCGUCACUGCAGAUGAGGUCCCCUGUUUCUUCGUCGUACGAACCACCAUGCGCAAGGAACCAAUUUCUUGCUCUCAAUUCCCACUCAUGACGGAGUGGUUCAGGUAUGAUGCCUUUAGCUAGCAGAUCUUGCUCUUUCUUAUCCCACUUUGGGAUGGUAGUCUCAUAGCCCCCUCGCCCCAGCUUGUGGUGAUAUUUCUUCUUGUCGGCAUUUAUCUUGUUCUUUUCUGAUAAUGCCUGGGCAUCUUCUGACUCCUUGUACUCUUGAAAUGCCUUCCAGUGAUUCGCCUGCUUGGCUAGAUACGCCUCGAAUACUGGCACUUUCUUUGUCUUCAGAUAGUUUUUCCAUAACUUCUUCUUCCAGCUACGGAACAGUUCGGCCAUCUUCUUUAGAGUCCACUGCUUGACUUUGGCCCUCAGUUUGUCUGUGGUGUCUUCAUUCUCACAUUCUGGCAGGUUGAAAUGUGACAUGAGAUCAUUCCAAAAAUUAUCUUUGUACCUUUCGGCGACAUAGUCACUAUCGGCUGCCCCUUUGCGCUUGUUCCACUCACGAACGCUGAUCGGGACGUGAUCCCUAACGAGAACUCCGCAUUGCUUCUUGAAUGUGUCAGCAGCAUUCUUAGGAAGCUUGGGUUCGCCCGUAGGCAAUAUCACCUCAAAGGUGUAAUGCGUCCGUGCAUCCAACUUUCUAGUCGGGCCUCGUUUCGUAGCUUUGCUCAAUGUGGAGGCCUAAGAGGGAGAAACAUUCGUCAAAUGAAUGUAUAUGUAUACAAUAUAGAGCUAUCUCCAAUAUUUUUCACAUAUUACAAGUGAUUGUAGAACUUCAUAUGUAUACCUCGCCGGACUUUAUUAUUUCUUCACCGACUUCUCCAUCAGUGGAGCUAUCACCUUCUUCGUCAUUGGACCUAUCUCCUGCCCCAUCGGCUUCAUCUUCGUGUCGGUCGACCUCCAUUCCAUAUCCGGAGGGGUUUAGAUAUGACGACGGAGAUUCAGCUGGUUCAACGUCGGGGCCGUCUUUGAUUAUAUCUUCGAGAAGUUCUUCCUCUUCGAGGUUCCUGAUAUGUGGAUGCAUAGUUCUGCAAAAAACGGACAUUUGAUUAACUAAUAAACUAACAAACUAUAUAAGAGGGGUUGGAAACUUUGAAGUGUCGUUUUAUAUAGGAGGACCUUUAGUCCCGGGUCUUGGCUAGAACCUAAACUCUAAAAUAUGUCUAACGGAUUCUCUUAACCUUUAAGGAUUUAACAAAAUGGCGACAUUCUAGAUGUGUAGAAAAUGAUCCUAUUUUUCCUGAUCUCAUCUACCCUUCUAUAUGUCACAUUGUCUAGUGUCAAAGGACUUUGUUGAACUUUGUACAAAAAAAGAAUUAUUCUAUCAGGAACUCCGUUCCAAAACAACUUUAGUCCCGGGUCGUGGCUCCACCCGGGACUCCUAGAUUUCUGCAUAGUAUUCAAAGUAGGAGUAAUUUUCCAAUUUGAGCAUUCAAUAAGCAAAACCAAAUCGUAAAAUAAAGUAGUAUUCAAAUUAGCAUGCAUUCAAUUAUAAGCAAAACUACAUCAUCUCUUUUGUCCGUACAUCGUCGAAUAUUAUCACUAAUACUCGAAUACUAUCAUACAUAUAGCAUCACUGACACAGCUAGAAUCGUAGCGCCCGACGGGUAUCGUCGUGGGCGGUGGACACCCAAAGAGAAGGAACCAUCACAGGAUCAUAGCUCCAGUGAGAUCCCCGAAGAACCUGCCAUGUAUGCUCGAACCUGCCCUCCAACGCAACCAUGUAGCGACGGACGUGCUCAUCCUCCUCGCUGACACGGUGACGUACCACCUCCGCGGUGUCCGGAAGCCUCGGCACCGUCACUGGUGCAUGAUCUUCCUCGCGUGCUAGCCUCGGCACCGUCACUGGCCCAUGCGACCGCCACCAAACAAGGAUCGGGUCAACAACGGGCUGGCUCCUCACCAACCUACGCCCCCCCGGAAGGUAGCACCUCCCAAUACCAGCCGGGUGGAGCCCAGUCCCGGACAGGGCCCCUCUGAUCAAGCACGUGUCCUCCGCCGAGUCGACGACGAGGAUGCGGGAUAGGCAUCGUAAAAUGAACUAAAAAAAUAAACUAGUUCUAUUAAUUUUCUUGCUAAAAAUAAACUAUUAACACUUAAGCAUAUACAAUAGCGAAAUUAAACUAUUAACACUUAAGCAUAUACAAUAGCAAAAUUAAGCAAUAAUCUAAGAAACACUAUUAACACUUAAGCAUAUACACCAUACAAUAGCAAAAUUAAGCAUAUACAAUAGCAUCUAUAUACGUAGAAAUGUCUUCUUCUUCUUCUUCUUCUUCUUCUUCUUUGUUAUUUUCUUCUCCGCUUCUUCUUCAACUUCUCUUCUUCUACUUCUCCUGUUCUUCUAUUUUUCCUCUUCUUCUCCUCUCCUCCUCUUCUUAUUCUCCUUUUUCUUCUUUUCUUCUCCUCCUCUUCUUAUUUGCCUUUUUCCUAAUCUUAUUUUCUUAUUUUUGUUCAUAUUUCUUCUUCUUGUAACCCUAACCUAAUUCUAAAUAUUACUAACCCUAAUAAUCUAGCACAAACCUAAUAACAAUAGGAAUUAAAUGACAAAAAAAAUAUUUUUCUUUUUCUUCUUUUCUUUCCUUUUUCUUAUUNNNNNNNNNNNNNNNNNNNNNNNNNNNNNNNNNNNNNNNNNNNNNNNNNNNNNNNNNNNNNNNNNNNNNNNNNNNNNNNNNNNNNNNNNNNNNNNNNNNNAACGUCGAACCUUAAGUGUGCAGACCCUGCGGGUUCGAGAACUAUGUAGACAUGACCCGAGUGACUCCUCGGUCAAUAUCCAAUAGCGGGACCUGGAUGCCCAUAUUGGAUCCUACAUAUUCUCCGAAGAUCUUAUCGGUUGAACCUCAGUGUCAAGGAUUCAUAUAAUCCCGUAUGUCAUUCCCUUUGUCCUUCGGUAUGUUACUUGCCNNNNNNNNNNNNNNNNNNNNNNNNNUUGUCCUUCGGUAUAUUACUUGCCCGAGAUUCGAUCGUUAGUAUCCGCAUACCUAUUUCAAUCUCGUUUACCGGCAAGUAUCUUUACUCGUUCCGUAAUACAAGAUCCCGUGACUUACACUAAGUCACAUUGCUUGCAAGGCUUGUGUGUGAUGUUGUAUUACCGAGUGGGCCCCAAGAUACCUCUCCGUCACACGGAGUGACAAAUCCCAGUGUCGAUCCAUACUAACUCAACAAACACCUACGGAGAUACCUGUAGAGCAUCUAUAUAGUCACCCAGUUACGUUGCGAUGUUUGAUACACACAAAGCAUUCCUCCCGUGUCCGUGAGUUAUAUGAUCUCAUGGUCAUAGGAACAAAUACUUNNNNNNNNNNNNNNNNNNNNNNNNNNNNNNNNNNNNNNNNNNNNNNNNNNNNNNNNNNNNNNNNNNNNNNNNNNNNNNNNNNNNNNNNNNNNNNNNNNNNGGUGUUGAUGAAGAAGCCUUCCGUGUCCGAAUCCCCCCUCCGGCAGGGUACCAGAACGUGCCCGAGAUGGGAUCUUGCGGAGAUAGAAGCUUGCAGCGGCGGAGAAGUGAUUACGAGGCUCCCCUGAUUAUUUGGGAAUAUUUCACAAUAUAUAGGCGCAAGAUCUAGGUUAGGGGACCCUAGGGGGCCCACAAGCCUGCAUGGCGCGCCCCCCUGGCCGCGGGGUGGCUGCUUGUGGGGCCCCUGGGGCUCUUCUGGCUUGGCUCCCAAGUCCUCCGAUCUUCUUCCGUUCCAGAAAAAAUCUUUUCGGGGAUUUUCUUCCCUUUGGACUCCGUUUCAAAAUCUCCUCUGAAAGGGGUCAAAAACAUGGAAAAAACAGGAACUGGUACUUGGCAUUGAGUUAAUAAGUUAGUCCCAAAAAAAUAAAUAAAAGGCAUGCAAAACAUCCAAAGUUUGACAAGAUAAUAGCAUGAAACCAUCGAAAAUUAUAGAUACGUUGGAGACGUAUCAUCUCCCACUUGCACUAGAGUCAAUAAUCCAGUUCACAUCACUAUGUGAUUGUAAUGAAUCUAACACCCAUAUAGUUUUGGGGUUCGAUCAUGUCUUGCUUGUGAGAGGGGUUUUAGUCAAUGGUUCUGAACCUUUCAGAUCCGUGUGGGCUUUACAAAUAUUUAUGUCAUCUUAUAGAUGCUGCUACUACGUGCUAUUCGGAAAUAUUCCAAAUAUUUACUCUACUAUACGAAUCUGUUUUAAUACUCAGAGUUAUUCGGAUUAGUGUCAAAGCUUGCAUCGACGUAACCCUUUGUUGGGGAACGUUGCAGGGGAAACAAAAAAAAAACUUCCUACGCACACGAAGACCUAUCAUGGUGAUGUUCAUCUACAAGAGAGAGAUUAGAUAUACAUACCCUUGUAGAUUGCUCAGCGGGAAGCGUUAAGAAACGAAGUUGAUGUAGUGGUACAGCUUCGUGAUUCAAAUCACCGUCAUCCCAUGAUCCGACCCUUGAACCGUCCCACGAUCCGUCCCAUGAACCGUCUCGCGAUCCGUCCCACGAUCCGUCUCGAUCUAGCACCGAACGAACGACACCUCCACGUUCAGCACACGUACAGCUCGAUGACAAUCUCGGCCUUCUUGAUCCAGCAAGAGAGACGGCGAAGUAGAUGAGUUAUCCGGAAGCGUGACGACGCGCCGGUGUUGGUGAUGAACUAUUCCUACAGGGCUCCGCCUGAGCUCCGCAUAAAUCUAAUCUAGAGGAAGAACUACGAGGUGUAGGUUUGAGUUGCACGUGGCAAAGUUGUCUCAAAAGCCCUAAACCUCUAGUAUAUAUAGGAGGAGGGGAGAGGCAGCCUUGGGUAUCCUUGGCGCAUCAAGGAAUCCUCCUUGGAUCGGCCAAAGUGGGAGAGAGGGAGGAGUCCUUCUCCAAUCCCGCUUGGAUUAGGACUCCUUCCUUAUUUUCCCACCUCUUUUGUAUUUUCCACCUUUUCCUCAUGGGCUAUCCUUGGAUGACUUUGUCAGACCAUUAUACCUUAUUGUGCAUCCAAUAAACCGAUGUGGACCCCUUGGGGCAUGGCGGGCCCACCUAGGGGGGCCCUCGGAACCCAUUCGUCACUCUCGGUACACAGCCGGUAAUGCCCGAAAACUUUUCGGAAUCCAAACACCAACUUCCUAUAUAUAAAUCUUCGUUUCCGGACCAUUCCAGAAACCCUCGUGACGUCCGUGAUCUCAUCCGGGACUCCAAACAACCUUCGGUCACCAACACAUAUAACUCAACUAUACUAAAACAUCAUCAAACCUUAAGUGUGCAGACCCUGCGGGUUCGACAACUAUGUGGACAUGACCUGAGACACUCCUCGGUCAAUAUCCAAUAGCAUGACCUGGAUGCCCAUAUUGGAUCCUGCAUAUUCUACGAAGAUCUUAUCGGUUGAACCUCUGUGCCAAUGAUUCAUAUAAUCUUGUAUGUCAUUCCCUUUGUCCUUCGGUAUGUUACUUGCGUGAGAUUUGAUCGUCGGCAUCCGUAUACCUAUUUCAAUCUUGUUACCGGCAAGUCUCUUUACUCGUUCCAUAAUACAAGAUCCCGUGACUUACACUUAGUCACAUUGCUUGCAAGGCUUGUUUGUGAUGUUGUAUUACCGAGUGGGCCCCGAGAUACCUCUCCGUCACACGGAGUGACAAAUCCCAGUCUUGACCCAUACUAACUCAACAGACACCUUCGGAGAUACCUGUAGAGCACCUUUAUAGUCACCCAGUUAAGUUGCGACGUUUGAUACACACAAGGUAUUCCUUCGGUCACAGUGAGUUAUAUGAUCUCAUGGUCAUAGGAAUAAAUACUUGACACGUAGAAAACAAUAGAAACAAAAUAACACGAUCACAUGCUACGUUUAUAAUUUGGGUCUUGUCCAUCACAUGAUUCUCCUAAUGAUGUGAUCCCGUUAUAAAGUGAUAACACUUGCCUAUGGCCAGGAAACCUUGACCAUCUUUGAUCAACGAACUAGUCAACUACAGGCUCACUAGGGACGUGUGUUGUCUAUGUAUCCACACAUGUAUUUGAGUUUCCAAUCAAUACAAUUCUAGCAUGGAUAAUAAAACGAUUAUUAUGAACAAGGAAAUAUAAUAAUAACUAAUUUAUUAUUGCCUCUAGGGCAUAUUUCCAACACCCUUUACGACGAACUUUUUAACCACCUCCAUAAUCGAGAAACAUUCCUUAGUCCAUUAGUUACUAAGGAUAACUUUGACCGUUGUUUAGUGAUUCAAUCCUGGAUCACUCUUUGUAUGCCUUGACAGACUCAUGGCAAGGCACACAUCAGGUGCGGUACACAACAUGGCAUACUAUAGAGCCUACGGCUAAAGCGUAGGGGACGACCUUCGUCCUUUCUCUUUCUUCUCCCGUGGUGUGGCUUUGAGUCUUACUCAAAUUCACACCUUACAUCACAGCCAAGAACUCCUUCUUUGCUGAUCUAUUUUGAACUCCUUCAAAAACCUGUCAAGGCAUGCAUUUCAUUGAAAGUUCUAUUUAGCGUUUUGAUCUAUCUCUAUAGAUCUUGAUACUCAAUGUUCAAGUAGCUCUAUCCAGGUCUUCCUUUGAAAAAUUCCUUUCAAACAACCCUUUAUGCUUUACAAAUAUUCUACAUUACUUCCGAUCAACAAUAUGUCAACCACAUAUACUUAUGAGAAAUUAUAUAGUGCUCCCACCCACUUCUCUGGAAAUACACGUUUCUCAUAAACCUUGUAUAAACCCAAAAGCUAUGAUCAUCUCAUCAAAGCGUAUAUUCCAACUCCGAGAUGCUUGCACCAGUCCAUGGAAGGAUUGCUGGAGCUUGCAUACUUGUUAGCAUCCUUAGGAUCGACAAAACCUUCUGGUUGUAUCACAUACAACCUUUUCUCAAGGAAACCGUCGAGGAAACAAUGUUUUGACAUCCCACUACAAGAAAUAUGCUCAUACAUGACGUUUUUUAAGACAUCGUUGAUGAAUUCGUCAUAAAUCUAUGAUGAUUUCAUCCGAGAUUGUCGUAAACCGUUUGAGGGGAUCAAAUCUACAUAUAAAUUACGACGAUGUGAGUCAAAAACGUCGUAACCGCAUAAGAUGAGAUCGUCGUAACUUUUACGACGAUUAUAAAAAUGUCGUAACAUGUUCUAACUAUGUUCACAUGUCACUCGUGGGUCCAUUCUAUGUCACGCGUCAAACACGCCUAGUUUGUGAAGCAACCUACUAUUCUGUCAUUCCAAAAAUUCUCUAAAAAUUCUCAUAAAUACUUUGGAUCAUAUAUUCCUCAAAUAUGUAAAAACUCUUCCAUCCAUAGUUCAAAAAUAAUUCAGCAAUAUUCAUUUUCCUAUUAUGUUCAGAAUAGCACUUUGUGAAGGAAGUGCUAUUUCUAUUUCUUUGAUUACCUUUUUUCUGAAUAUUCUGUUCAGUAGGGAGCAUUGUGAAAGAAGUACAAUUUUUGUUUAUCCAAAUUUUAUGAAAUUUUUACAGUGCCUUACUGUGCCCAAAUUAUCAUCCUCCUCCCAAUUUCAACUCAAUCCAAUCAUCUAUGCGAGCCCAAUUUCCUAGUAAAUAUUUCUCAGCAAAUUUCCAAAGUUUGUGUCCAGCUAACAUCUUUGUGAAGGAAGUACUAGAUAGGUAUAUCCUGAUGAGUUGAAUUUUUUCCACAUCUUCUAUGUGCCCAAAACAUAGCUCUCCACAAAAUAUUAGCCCCAUCUAACAUUCCAUGUGAGCUCAUCAUCCAAUCUUUGUUUUUGGUAAUAUUUUCAUUUUAUGAAGCAACUACAUUAUAUAUUGCUUUAUAUUUGAUGAAAAUUUACCACUAGAUGAAACUAACCAUAUAACUUCACUCCACCAAAUUUUAACUCAUUUAAUUCAGCCAGUUUCCCUCAAUUUUUUCUGAAUAUUCUGUUCAGUAGGGAGCAUUGUGAAAGAAGUACAAUUUUUGUUUAUCCAAAUUUUAUGAAAUUUUUACAGUGCCUUACUGUGCCCAAAUUAUCAUCCUCCUCCCAAUUUCAACUCAAUCCAAUCAUCUAUGCGAGCCCAAUUUCAAUUACCAUUUUCUAUCUAGAUUGGCAUAUUGUGAAGGAAGUGUCACUUUCGCAUGUCCAAAUGGUAUAAUUUUCUUACAGUGCCUUCAUAUGCCCAAAUUAACAUCAUACACCAAAUUUCAGCUCAAUCAAAUCAUCUAUGUGAGCCCAGUUUCAAUUACCAUUUUCUGUCCAGAUUGGCUUAUUGUGAAGGAAGUGUCACUUUGGCAUGUCCAAAUGGUAUAAAUGUUUUACAGUGCCUUCAUAUGCCCAAAUUAAUUUCAUACACCAAAUGUUAGCUCAAUCCAAUCAUCUAUGUGAGCCCAGUUUCAAUUACCAUUUUCUGUCCAGAUUGGCACAUUGUGAAGGAAGUGUCACUUUCGCAUGUCCAAAUGGUAUAAACUUUUUACAGUGCCUUCAUAUGUCCAAAUUAACAUCAUACACCAAAUUUCAGCUCAAUCCAUUCAUCCAUUUGAUCCUAGCUUCAACAUCAAUAUUUCUACACGGUGUGUUACUUUGCAAAACAAGUGCCACCUAGGUUCAUCCAUUUGAGCUACAAAUUUGCCAAAAGAGUCUCCUUAGUAGAUGAUCAUCCUCAUCCAAAAUUUAGGCCAAUUGUCUAUGUAGCAACGAAAAAAUNNNNNNNNNNNNNNNNNNNNNNNNNNNNNNNNNNNNNNNNNNNNNNNNNNNNNNNNGUAUUAGCAUAUUCCUUGUAGUGUCCUAUGUGCAAUAUUUCAUAAAUAAUGCAUCAACUGCUAACAUAAUUCCAACAGACUUUUAGCAUCGCUACGAGUGAGAAAGUCUCAUCAUAGUCAACUCUUUGAACUUGUCGAAAACAUCUUUGCGAUAAGUCGAGCUUUUCUUAAUGGUGACUUUUCACCAUCAUCGUUUGUCUUCCUUUUAAAGAUCCAUCCUUACUUAAUAGUCUUACGACCCACAAGUAGUUCUUCUAAAGUCUACACUUUGUUUCCAUACAUGGAUCCUCUCUCGGAUUUCAUGGCCUCCAGCCAUUUGCCGGAAUCCAGGCCCAUCAUCGCUUCUCCAUAGCUCGUAGGUUCAUUGUUGUUCAACAACAUGACCUCCAAGACAGGGUUACUGUACCAAUCUCUAGUAGUACGCGACCUUGUCGACCUACGAGGUUUGUAGUAACCUGAUCCGAAGCUUAAUGAUCACCAUCAUGAGUUUCCACUUCAAUUAGUCUAGGCACCACAGGAACAACUUCCUGCGCCCUGCUACACACUAGUUGAAGUGACGAUUCAACAACCUCAUCAAGUUCCACCACCCUCCCACUCAAUUCUUUCGAGAGAAACCUUUCCUCGAGAAAGGACCCGUUUCUAGAAACAAACACUUUGCUUCUGGAUCUGAGAUAGGAGAUGUACCCAACUAUUUUGGAUAUCCUAUGAAGAUGCAUUUAUCUGCUUUGGGUUCGAGCUUAUCAGACUAAAACUUUUUCACAUCAGCGUCAAAGCCCCAAACUUUCAAGAAACAAUAGCUCAGGUUUCUCCAAACCAUAGUUCAUACUUUGUCAUCUCAACGGAAAUACAUAGUGCCCUAUUUAAAGUGAAUGCGGUUGUCUCUAAUGCAUAACGAAUAAACCAUAGUGGUAAUACGAUUAGAGACAUCAUAGUAUGCACUUUAUCCAAUAGGGCGCGGCUAUGAUGUCCGGACACACCAUCACACUAUCGUGUUCUAGGUGGCAUGAAUUGCGAAACAAUUUCCACAUUGUCUUAACCGUGUACCAAAACUCGCAACUCGGGUAUUCAUCUCUAUGAUCAUAUGUAGACAGUUUAUCCUCUUGUCACGAUGAUCUUCACUCUGAAAUAACCUUGAACUUUUCAAUAUUUCAGACUUGUGAUUCAUCAAGUAAAUACUCAUGUAUCUACUCAAAUCAUCAGUGAAGUAAGAACAUAACGAUAUCCACUGCGUGCCUCAGCACUCAUUGGACUGCACACAUCAAAAUUGUAUUAUUUCCAACAAGUUACUUUCUUGUUCCAUGUGGUAUGAUUUGUAUGUCUCAAGUGAUUCAAAAUCAAUUGAGUCCAAACGAUCCAUCUGCAUGGAGUUUCUUCAUGCGUUUGUACCAACAGGUAUGGUUUGCAUGUGUCAAACGUUUCAAAAAAGAGUGAGUAUAAAGAUCCAUGAGCAUGGAGCUUGUACGUCUCCAACGUAUCUAUAAUUUUUUAUGGUUCCAUGCUAUUAUCUUGGCAACUUUGGAUGUUUUAUAUGCAUGAAUAUGCUAUUUUAUAUCUUUUUGGGAUUAACCUAUUAACUCAGUGCCAAGUGCCAGUUUCUGUUUUUUCGUGUUUUUGACCCUUUUUUAGACGGAGUCCAAAUGGAAUAAAACUUUGCGAUGAUUUUUUUGGACCAAAAGAGACCCCCGAAGGUUUAGAAGAAGGCCAGAAGAGCCAUGAGGGAGUCACAAGCCCGGGAGGCGCGACCCCCCCUAGGCCGCACCUACCAGGCUUGUGACCUCCUCGUGGGCCCAACCGACGUAAUUCCACUGCCAUAAAUUCCUAUAAAUACAGAAACCCCCCAAAAGAAACCUAGAUCGGGAGUUCAGCCGCUGCAAGCCUCUGUAGCCACCAAAAACCAAUCUGGAGCCCGUUCCGGCACCUUGCCGAAGGGGGAAUCCAUCUCCGGUGGCCAUCUUCAUCAUCCCGGCGAUCUCCAUGACGAGGAGGGAGUAGUUCUCCCUUGGGGCUGAGGGUAUGUACCAGUAGCUAUGUGUUUGAUCUCUCUCUCUCGUGUUCUUGAGAUGUCUUUAUCUCGAUGUACCGUGGGCUUUGCUACUAUAGUUGGAUCUUAUGAUGUUCUUCCCCCUCUCCCUUCUUGUAAUGAAUUGAGUUUCCCCUUUGAAGUUAUCUUAUCGGAUUGAGUCUUUGAGAACACUUGAUGUAUGUCUUGCACGUGUCUAUCUGCGGUGAUCGACUUGCGGGUUUGUGACAUUGGGAACCUAUGCAUAUGGGUUGGCACACGUUUGAUUCAUGUGAGUACUCAAUGUAUGUUUUCGCGAUCAACUUGCGGCUUCGUGACAUUGGGAACCUAUGCAUAGGGGUUGGCACACGUUUUGACUCUCCGGUAGAAACUUUGGGGCACUCUUUCAAGUUCUAUGUGUUCGUUGAAUAGAUGAUUCUGAGAUUAUGUGAUGCAUAUCUUAUAAUCAUGCCCACGAAUACUUGAGGUGACAAUGGAGUAUCUAGGUGACAUUAGGGUCUUGGUUGAUAUGUAUCUUAAGGUGUUAUUCUAGUACGAACUCUAUGAAAGAUUGAACGGAAAGAAUAGCUUCAUGCUAUUUUACUACGGACUCUUGAAUAGAUCGAUCAGAAAUAAUAACUUUGUGGUGGUUUCGUAGCCGACAAUAAUCUCUUCGUUUGUUCUCCGCUAUUAGUGACUUUGGAGUGACUCUUUGUUUCAUGUUGAGGGCUAGUUAUAUGAUCCAAUUAUGUUAUCAUUGUUGAGAGAACUUCACUAAUGAAAGUAUGAACCCUAGGCCUUGUUUCCACGCAUUGCAAUACCAUUCGUGCUCGCUUUUACUACUAGUUGCCUUGCUGUUUUUGUAAUUUCAGAUUACAAAAACCUAUAUCUACCAUCCAUAUUGCAAUUUUAUCACCAUCUCUUCGCCGAACUAGUGCACCUAUAGAACUUACCAUUGUAUUGGGUGUGUUGGGGACUCAAGAGAAUCUUUGUUAUUUUGUUGCAGGGUUGCUUGCGAGAGACCAUCUUCAUCCUAUGCCUCCCGCUGAUUGAUAAACCUUAGGUCACCCACUUGAGGGAAAACUGCUACUGUCCUACAAACAUCUGCACUUGGCACUACUAGGAAAAGGCGUGCUAGUGGCGCACCUGUUUUGCCUACUAAUGGCGCACUAGAGGUGUGCCACUAGCAUCACGCCAUUAGAAUUUUUUACUAAUGGCGCACCAGGUAGUGCGCCAUUAGUAUAGCUCAUGGUGCGCCAUUAGUAUCUCGUAUGCUAAUGGCGCACCAGGCAGUGCGCCAUUAGUAUAGCUCAUGAUGCACCAUUAGUAUCUGGUAUACUAAUGGUGCACUAGGCAGUGCGCCAUUAGUAUAGCUCAUGGUGCGCCAUUAGUAUGCCUCCCAGGGGCCAUAUUUAUUCAUGUGCUCUAGCUUACUAAUGGCGCACUAGUUCACUAUGCGCCACUAGUGUGCUUUUGCAGUGCGCCACUAAAGUGCUGAGUGGUGCGCCAUUAGUAUGAAUAUUAGGUAUUAUUUUUUUUCCUGAUAUUUGCAUAGAUUACAAAACAUAUUAUUGCAUAGAAUAUAGAGAGCACAACAUAUAAACAACAUAUUUAUCGAAUACAAUAGAAGAUUAGUCUCCGAAUACAAUUCACCAUAUUAGUCUCCGAAUUUAAAAUACCGAACAAAGUUAGAACAUUACAAGUCUCGAGACCGCGAGUAGCGAGUUUGUCUUCACAUUACAAGCCGAUAUCGAUCAUCUAAACAACCAUCACAUAGAAGAGAGUUGAGGUGAUCACGAUGAGCAUAAUGGCGAUGAAACUGGUCUUCAUUCGGUUCCUCCAACGCUCCCUCCUCUCUCCCGCUAGAUAGCGCGCGUAUCUAACUUCUGCCUCUGCCCUUGUGGUGUACCCUUUCUAACUGUUACCGCUGAAACGGUGAACCUGUCUCCGACACUCCUCCCAAUCGUCGUAGACUCCGGGAACCUUACCUUUGUACACGACAUACAACGGCAUCUCUAUGCACUAGCCAAACAAAACAUUAGUAGCAAUUCACAGAGACAUACAAGUUCAUUAAAGUUUAAUAUUACAACUAUAACAGCACGAUUCCUGGUCCUACUAAUAAAUAGCAUCGAUUACAUAUAAGUUGAACGACUGUCCAAACCAAAGAGACAUACAAGUUCAUUAAAGUUUAAUAUUACAACAUGAAUUAGUAGCAAUUCACGGAACAUGGAUGAAGCCGCCGCAUUUUUUGGUGUUGCCAGGAGCUAUCAACACACCAAUUUUUACCUUAUGACUCCCAAGGAUUUGCUUAGUGGUGCAAUCUAACAAAUAAGAAUUAAAUUUCUUGCUAAGAGGCAAGUUCUAAUAUCUCUCUAUGAUCAUUGUCAGCACCUAUAUUUUGCACUACUUAAACCUCUAGCAACUUAUUUUUCUUCAACAAAUUUUCCCAUGGAAAAAAAAUCAAAACUAUACAGUGUAACUUGAACAACUUAAAAGAUAGAAGGUUUGUUGUUUGGCCAUGGCAAUUACAAAAACCAGAUGAAGGGCACCAAAGCAAUGGUACACAGUAUACAAGGUAUUUUUUAUACAAAUGAGAGGUAAUGCUCGACAAUGUCUUCAAAGCAACACAGGUUAUACGUUAUUCUAUUCAAUCGUGCCCUCGAUGUUGCGGUGGCGAAAUCAAUGAUGAAGCAGAGUGAUAGUGCAGGCUUUCAACUAUUGGCCAUCCAGCGCUGCGAGGAGUAGCUAGGGUGUUUGCGUUACUUGUUUAUGAUCUCAGCACUAGCGGCUCAACUCCUGUAUCUAUUUUCCUUAUCCACUUAAUUAAAAAAAAAGGUGCAAGCGCUUGCUUGAGAGUAGCCUAUAAAAAAAGUGUGUCCUCGUGGAUAAACAGAAAGGCUUUUAACCAUCCAAAAAAUUUUAUACAGAGUUCUUCAUACUGCUAAUGUCAAACUAAUCAGUAUUACAUGUUAAAAGUUAAAUUUGGUGCUUACCUCUUCGGAUACACUUUCAGUAUUAUAUUUGUCAUCCCAGUACUGCGUGCAUAUCCUGUAAAGUUGGUGGACACUCAACACCUGCAUAACGGCAAACAGAAAUAGGUGUUUAGCUACUCUUCUUCUGGAUGAUCCAUUGCAGCCUCCCUAUGCCGCAUUGGGUUUGGGGAGUGGGGGUCUUACUGGGCACAGAUCACUCAUUAUUUCAUCAUAUGAUACCCUGAACUUUUUGAAAAUGACCUGCAUCACAGCACAAAGAUGGUCAGACCUACCUAAAAGGGACAAAAUUUUCAUAAAAAUCAGUAAACAGCACAGCGGCAGUCUUCGACGGCAAACAUAAACACAACUAAACUUUUACCGGUGUGCAAUUCAAAAUCGAUUGAAAUGCUCCACUACUUUUUAUACUUAAAGAAGUAAUGAAUGUUGAGGUCUUCUUCGGUACAACCCCCCCCACUAUACGUAUAAGGGUAGUAUGGUCAUUGCAUGUUCUGUACCGUAUCUGUCGCCCCGUCCGCCCGCCCGUCGUACGCCCGCCCGCCCGUCGUACAUACGCCAUGUCACCCACGCGUCGGUGGUUUGGUUGGAAAAAAACCUAGCUUCAUCACGCCCGAAUCCGUCGCCGCGACUCCGCCGCCGCGACGUCUCCACCAUCGUCCCCGGCGCCGACGUGGCUCCACCCCUCACCCCGAGUCCAGCACACGUCGCCUCCACCGCCGACAGGACACCCCCACCGUCUCAUCUCCGCCGCCUCCGGUACAUCGCCGCACACGUCUCCACCGGCGACGUGACCCUCUCCCUCCGCUUCGACGCCGGCAGUUGCAGUGACCGACGUGGCACCGACAUCGAACGAUGUCGAUCAACCCUUCGACGACGGACAGUAAGUUCUUUCAUUUAAUCCAUACAAUUUUUCACGAUUUCAUUGUACAUUGAUACAAUACCUAUUGAAAGGUUUAUUAAUAGAUCAAGAUAACACUAGAUAUGCAGGCGAUAACUCUAGUAGUGAGGAUGAAUCUUCGUCAUUGAAUGCAAAUAAAUCACUCGGACACAACUAUAUGAGUCAGGAUGAAUCAUAUAGUGGUAAUGUAAGUGUUGUGUACGUUGACUAUAAAUAAUGAAAAUAUAAUUUAUUACAUUAACACUUACAAUUGCUAUUGAAUUUAAAUAGGUGCAUGCUAGUGAUGACAAUGACGAUUAUGACAGCGAUGAUCAAUCUUAUGUUGAAAGUGGAACCCAGGUAUGUUUUAAAUAUGUUGUUGUAUUAUUACUAACAUACAAAUUGUAUUACCACUUACACUUUUUAAUAUGCACAGAGAAAUACCGAUGGUGACGCUGAGACGAGAACCUUACAUGAUGAGAAUGAUGACAAUAAUGAGGAUGAUAACAAUGAUGAGGAUGAUGAUAAUGAUGAGGAUGAUGACAAUGCAUCUAAUGAAGGAAAUAUGAGCGAAGUAAGUUAUAUUACAUGUUCAAAUUACUCAUGAAAACUAACAUAUCAAAAGACUGACGAACAUGGUGAUAUGUCUUAUUUUGCAGGGGGGUGUUGAUGGUUCUAAUGGGAACGAUGAGCAUGUUGGCGAUCUUGAUUUUGACCUUGACAUCAGCUAAGAUGAAUAUCAGCAAGAGACAUUGGAUAAGCAUUGGGAAGUCAUGGCCAAGACAUUCAGGUCGGAAGGAGAGGCGUACAUGUUCUAUAACCAGUACGCCAAAGAUCGUGGAUUCAGUAUCAGGAGGGACUUGAAAAGAUUUGGAAAAGGUUCCCAAAAAGUUUUACGCAUGAGGAGGUAUCUCUGUUCCAGGGCAGGAAAACGACAGGAAAAAAUUUUAACCAUGGAAGGCUGGACCCACAGACUGAGACCGGAGAGUCGAUCUUUCUGUGAAGCCCAUUUAAAAGUGAAGCUUGAUAGAAAGAGUGGACUUUGGUAUGUCAGCAGUUUCUUCGAUGAUCACAGCCAUGUUCUUGCAAAACCGGACGAAGUCCCUUUCCUCCGGUCUCACAAUGUAAUCAAAGAUUUCCAGAAAGCAGAGAUUUUAGCUAUGGCAGGAGCUGGGACAAGAAAGCAUAUCAUUUUUGAUAACUUUGUCAGCAGGUACGGUUCGUACGCUAAGACAGGGUUUGGAAGGAGGAAAUUGUAUAAUAUGUGCUACAGGGAGAAGAUGAAACUGCUUGUCCAAGGUGAUGCUGACACUGCUAUAGGAAUCAUGUUGGCCAGAAAGGACAGGGAUCCGGAUUUCUUCUUUGAGCAUACCGUUGACGCUGAAGGUAGGCUGAACAACCUGUUCUGGUGUGAUUCGCAAUCACGUCGGGAUUAUCUUGACUAUGGUGAUGUCACUGUGUUCGACAGUACGUACAAGAUGAAUAGGUAUGGAAUGCCAUUUAUCCCUUUUGUUGGUCUCAACAAUCACCGUUGCACUACGGUUUUUGCAUGCGCCAUUGUUUUAGAUGAGACUGAAGGUACGUAUGUUUGGCUGCGAGAGACGUUUUUGAAAGCUAACUGCCAGAAGAAGCCCCAGUCUGUAAUUACUGAUGGAGAUGCAGCGAUGAUAAGGGCUAUCAGGAAGGUGCUUCCUGACGUGUGGUAUCGUCUAUGUUCAUGGCAUAUUGAAAAACAUGCAGAAACACCUCCAUCACAAGUCAUUGAAGGAAUUCAGGUCACUCUUGUACUACGCCACCACACAUGCAGUUUUCGAGGAGAGAUGGGCCGCGUUUGUUCAGAAAUGGCAGACGGAGAAAACAAAAACAUGGCUCCAUAGGAUGUACAGGAAGAAGAAGCUUUGGGCUGCAUCAUAUUUGUCUGGUGGAUUAUUUCUUGGUAUGCGUAGUAAUCAGAGGAGCGAGAGCCUGAACUCAUGACUGCACCUACAUCUGGACUACAGUAUGACAAUUGUUGAUAUGAUUGUACACUAUGAGAAUUGCAUCAUGCGCCUGCGCGAGAAUGAAUCGUAUGAUGAUUGCAUGGCCUCACAGACUCUACCAGUAGCAGUGACUGAGUGUAAGACCAUUGAGGUGUUUGCUGCCAAAGCAUUCACGAAGGCAAACUUUUACAUCUUGCAGGAAGAUUUAAAAAAGGUACAUCAGCUUGAGGUAAUUGAUAGAUUAAGAGGAGCAGACAGUCACAGAUUCGUGGUUGCUUGAAAAAAUAACAGGGAUCAUAGGUUUAAUGUGGACUACGCACCAGGUAACUCUGCAGAAACUAUAAAGUGCAGUUGUCGAAGUAUGACUCGCAAAGGCCUUCCUUGCAAGCAUAUUCUUCAUGUUUUGAAUGCACUCAACUUACCUGCAAUACCUAAGUGUUGUAUCCUGCGAUGGUUCACGAAGAAAGCAAGAUCUGGAUUGCCUGUGAAGCGCACCAGCGAUCUGUUUUCAUGGGGUUGGACGGGUAAGGAGGCCAGAGCUAGAUAUAGUACGUUGAGCAGUGUAUCUGCAGAAGCUGCUCAUAUCGCAUGUCAUAACCAAUUCUUAUUCGACAAGAUGCUGGCAGCAAUGAAAGAAGUUAUAGCGAAUAAGGACAUCUUGAAUAAUGAAGAACCCAGUCAGCAAAGCUUUGUGAGUAAUGAUGAAUUUCAGCCUAAGCGGAAUCAUAUUCUUAUUUGUGAUCCAAUGAAGGUGUCCACCAAAGGGGCACCUAAAAAGAAUAUUAGAGGUCAGGGUAAGAAUGCUCCUGAGGUGACCAAAAAUGGAAGACCAAAAGCAUUUAAUGAGAAAAGCGGACGUCUAUGUAGACUAUGCAGACUUCCAGGUCAUAACAAGGCCACUUGCAACCAAAAUCCAGAGUACGUAUGUUGCUUCUUAUUUUACUUAUGUUGUUUCGUUUCGGUAAUUAUUUUCUUAUAACCUAUAAUUUAUUUCAUGCAGUAAUUGGGGUUGAAGACACAAGGGGUGUUAUUGUAAUCUUUAGAUUUUUAUAUCUGCAAUAAUAUUGUGUUACAUAAGACAAUAUGUAUAUGUUUUUCUUGUUAUUUAAGAUAAUACGUAUAUGUUUUUCAUGUUAUAUGUUGUUCAUUUUAUAUAAGACAAUACUACGAGCACUUCAGCCGACAUCGAUUGUGCUAUUUUUUAAAUGUAAAAUGCAUGUACCGACGCCAUGACGGUCCUCUGUGUUCUGGGUGAAACCCCGUCGCGUCGACCGCAUGCGCUGACGUCACGCGGGAGCAGUUGACCCCGUCGUUUUCUGGGCAAAAACGUCGCGCCGACUGCAUGCGCCGACGUCAACGCGGGGCGGCUGAUCCCGUCGUAUUCUGGGCAAAAAAACGUCGCGCCGACUGCAUCCCCCGACGCCACGAGAACGCAGAUGCCCGGUGGUUUUUUCGUGCAAAAAAGACGUCGCGGGGACUGCAUGCGCCGACGUCACGCGGGGCCGUUGAUCCCGUCAUUUUCCGGGCUAAAACCGUCGCGCCACUGCAUGUCCCGACGCCACGCGAACGCAGAAAACGUCGCGCCGACGUCGCGCCGACUGCAUGCAACCACAAGAACAUAUUGAAUAGUACUGCAUUAUUUGUAUACAUUACAACCACAAGAACAUACCUUAGGUGCUUUGAAAUACUCGUUGAUACACCUAUUUACAUGUUCAUUAAAAUUUGACACUUUUUCAUACUCAUUACCGUUUACAUUCUUAUCCUUUCUAUAUUCAAGCAGCCACGUCACCCUUCAAGUAGGUAUUAUGUAACGUUCGUCUUUAGCUUCCCCCAACAAAAAAGAUGAGUACGCAUUCAUAACCUGAAAAUAAUAUAACAAAUGUAAUGAUUGUACUUUGUUGUCAAAUAUAAUGUUAAAAAUAUAAAUAACUUACAUCGCCGCUUAUCCAUUGGCGGUUAAGAAUCUGACAAGCUCUCUCUGCAGUCAAAGCGUCGGUCACACCAUCAUUGAAAAUUUGUGUAGCUUUAUGUUUCUUUGAGCACUCACAUGCGCGUAAAAACAUAACACUCGAUUUUAUUACAUCGACGUCAGCACUACUUUUCUUGCCAUCUACUUUAUUAAACAAUUCUGCAAAUCACAAAUUAAAAUUAGUAAGCGUAACUCUACAAUAAACUUUGUUCUACGAAAACAAUAUUGAUUCAUAACAAUCUUACUUCCUUUGGCAGAACGUUUUGCACGCUUGAUGGGUUUAACAACAACAAAAGGAGACUUUAUGGCUCUUGAUGCAGUGCGUUUACGUUUGCCAAUCCCCUUUUCCACUUGCUCAUCUACUCCAUUAUAGUGACCCGAUUCGUGUGAUAAAAUUUCAUUUGUAUCUAACGUCGUGACCACCUUCUCAUCUGAUACCUCAGGUACUUCGAUAGGAUCACUCCAAUCACCCUUGAAACUAUUCAGAUAUUCUGGAGUGCAAUAAUAAGGUACAUUACCUUCAUCAUCGUCCUUUUGCUUAUUAAUUUUACCUUGAGAAGGUGUGCGAUAUUUGUCCUUAUCAGACUGAUAAACAAACUCCUUAUGACCAAAUGCACCAUCAUUUGUAGAUUCAUUAAUGUCACCAUAUAUAUUCUCUUCUUCUUCCUCCAUGUUACCGGUUCUAUAGAACACACCGGUUUUGUUCAUUUUCUCAGUCAUACUCUAAAAAACUAUUUAUUAACAAGAGUUAUUUAAGUCAAUGAAAUACAUUAUGGAUGAUAGUAAAAUAGCGUUGCGUCGUUACCCGUGCGCAUAACUCUCGCAAGCGACGCAUUUCCUUGAGUAUUUCCUUCAGCUCAUGCCAAAUGCGGUCCAUAACAUUAAGCACGGAAGCCUUUGAUGUGUUUCUCUCUUUCUUCUUUCCACUAACAGUAGAUUUUUUAGUACUUGAUUUUUUAUUUUUUUCAGCUUGUUCUUGAGCAAUUUGUUUCAUCCUAUACUCAUAUGUAAUAUUGUCAUCAAUCUACAAAAACAAUAAUUAGAGACCGAUAAUUAUACAUAUAAUUUAGAGAAUAAGUCAGACCAUGGAAAUGUAACAUUAAAAAUAAAUUUAGAGAAUAUGGAUUACCAUUCCAACACCACGACCAUAAUCAUAGUCGUAUUGUCUCUUUUCUCCGCGACAGGUUCCGUCCAGUUCCUCAUCAAGGGGCUCAUAAGUGACAACGGAUCAUAUUUUGGACCUAUAAUUGGUUGUACUUCCUCCCAAUAGGCAUACUGCAAUACACCAAAUAAUUUAAAUAAUAUAUAUCAUACUGUGGUUGUACUCACUAACAAUACGUGAGUAAUAAAUCGAAUAAUACAUACUUGCAAAAGGGCAAGGUUUCCAUGUGGCCAUUCCCUCACACGGCCAUCCUCUAGAACCUUUCCAAUCUCCGAAAGAAAGAAUUUCAAAGUAAACUCGUUCCAGUUAAACUUACUUAUCAUCCUUUUGUCCUUAAUUAAGGCAUAAUAUUCCUUCGGAAUAUAUUCAUGGGAGACUGGUGCGAUUACUGUUCCCAACAAAACUAGAAACGUCAUCCAGACAAAGUCAUCAUCCGUGUUAUCAUUCUUCACAAUUUUAUUGAUAAGAUUAUCAAUCAUGAUCUUGCCCUUUUUUGUGUCCACAAAAUUAGUUGGUAUUCUUUUCAUACUUUUUUGUCCUUCUGUUCUAAGAAAACCAACUACAUCAACUCCUUGAUUUUUCAAUCCAAAAAUAGAUAACACAUCAUGAUGCCCUGUUGAAAUAAGGCCUUUACUACGAGCUGGCUCUUGAACCAUGAAUUUUUUAUUAUGGCGAUUGUAGCCUUGGAUCAAAAAGUGAAGUAAAAAUUCACGCAUCUUAACGGACGACAUUCGUAACAUGCCUUGCAAAUCCGUUUCAUAAAACGUAAAUUUUUGACUUGCUGAAAGUUUAUCAACAAGAAUAACCCACUUCUCAACAGAACAUGGAAUCACACCGUCGAUUUCCAUCCUUCAUAAUAUAAACAAUUUGUCAAGUACGGUGCAAUUUAUUUGAUAUUUCAAUAAUAACAUGAACAUUAUAAACAUACUUACCCAAUUAUAAUGCCGAUGAAGGAAGAACGGACGGACGAACGGUGAAGGCCGCGGCGACGCACUGACGUACGGUCAAGGCCGACGCGACGGACGGUGAAGGACGACGGCGGAUGGACGGUGACGACCGACAGCGGACGGACGGUGACGGUGAUGGACGGCGACGCGCGGACAGACGGUGACGGCCACGGUGACGAAGUUGUGAUGGUGCGUCAUCGGGAGGGAUGGAGGGUGGCGAGAUCACGUCGGCGUACGGCUAGGCGUCGGGGGAGAGGGGUUGGCGAGAUCACGUCGGGUGCAGAGCGAGGCGUCCGGGCGCGGCGGCGGCGAGAUCACGUCGAUGUGGCUAGGGUAUGCAACGUCGCUAAUCCCAACGUCGUGGGAAAACAAUAUGACGACGUCAGGUGUAUUUUUUUCAUUUUUUUUCGUAUGAAUAUUUGCAAGUCUCCUACAUGAAAUCUUUUGAUAUGAAUUUGCAAGUCCCCUUCAUGAAAUUUUUUCAUUUUUACACUUCACGAUGAACUUCACAAGGCGGCACAUCAAAUUUUAGAAUUUUCCACCAAUCCGUCCUUUUUUCUGAAUUUCCAUUCGAAAACCGGCAAAAACAUAUGCCGGACGUGACGCAACGUGCGUUUGGUCUCUGAUUUCGUCGAAAUUUUGCGUGGCAUCAUUGCAUGUGCAUUCUCAGGUGCCGGCAAAAGUUGGGUGAAUUUCAUGAAUGCAUCCAUGUACUUCAUGUGCAACCCAUAGGUGUCGGUAUGGACGGAAGGGGUGCUACAACACCAUCUUGCAACUCCCCUUCAUGAAAAAAUUUCAUUUUUUUUCAUGCUUCACGAUGAACUUCACAAGGCAAAAACAGAUCCCGGACAAUCCGUGCUUUUUAUGAAUUUCUAUUCAAAAACUGGCAAAAACAGAUGCCGGACGUGACACAACGUGCGUUUGGUCUCCGAUUUCGUCGAAAUUUUGCGUGGCAUCAUUGCAUGUGCAUUCUCAGAUGCCGGCACAAGUUGGGUGAGUUUCAUGAAUGAAUCCAUCGUCGAAAUUUUGCAUGGCAUCAUUGCAUGUGCAUUCUCAGAUGCCGGCAAAAGUUGGGUGAAUUUCAUGAAUGAAUCCAUGUACUUCAUGUGCAACCCAUGGGUGUCGGAUUGGACGGAAGGGGUGCUACAAUGACAUCUUGCAACUCCCCUUUAUGAAAAAAAAAAUUUCAUGCUUCACGAUGAACUUCACAAGGCGGCACGUCAAAUUUUAGAAUUUUCUGACAAUCCGUGCUUUUUUUAUGAAUUUCCAGCUUCACGAUUAGCUUCACAAGGCGACACGUCAAAUUUUAAAAUUUUCUGACAAUUCGUGCUUUUUUAUGAAUUUCCAUUCAAAAACCGAAAAAAACAGAUGUCGGACAUGACGCAACGUGCGUUUGGUCUCCGAUUUCGUCGAAAUUUUGUGUGGCAUCAUUGCAUGAGCAUUCUCAGGUGUCGACAAAAGUUGGGUGAAUUUCAUGAAUGCAUCCAUGUACUUCAUGUGCAACCCAUGGGUGUCGGUAUGGACGGAAGGGUUGCUACAACGCCAUCUUGCAAAUCCCCUUCAUGAAAAAAUUUCAUUUUUUCACGCUUCACGAUGAACUUCACAAGGCGGCACGUCAAAUUUUAGAAUUUUCUUACAAUCCGUGCUUUUUAUGAAUUUCCAUUCAAAAACUGGCAAAAACAGAUGUCGGACGUGACACAACCACUAGUGGAAAACGGGCCUUUGGCCUGGACCCUUUAGUCCCGGCCUGCCUCUAGGCCCGGACUAAACUCCCGGCCACGGCGCCCCAAAUCGCAAUGCCUCCCACGAGGCUUUAGUCCCGGCCCGUAAGGAGCCUUUAGUCCCGGUUUGUGUCCCAAACCGGGACUAAAGGGCUAUACGGUGUGCAGCCCGCAUGUGCGCCACCAAGGUUGUGCUACAACACCAUCUUGCAACUCCCCUUCAUGAAAUUUUUUAAUUUUUUUUCACGCUUCACAAUGACUUCACAAGGCGGCACGUCAAAUUUUAGAAUUUUCCACCAAUCCGUGCUUUUUUAUGAAUUUCCAUUCAAAAACCGGCAAAAACAGAUGCCGGACGUGACGUAACGUGCGUUUGGUCUCUGAUGCUUUUUUUAUGAAUUUCCAUUCAAAAACCGGCAAAAACACAUGCCGGACGUGACGCAACGUGCGUUUGGUCUCCGAUUUCGUCGAAAUUCUGUGUGGCAUCAUUGCAUGUGCAUUCUCACGUGACGGCAAAAGUUGGGUGAAUUUCAUGAAUGCAUCCAUGUACUUCAUGUGCAACCCAUGGGUGUCGGUAUGGACAGAAGGGGUGCUACAACGCCAUCUUGCAACUCUCCUUCAUGAAAAAAAAUUCAUUUUUUUCACGCUUCACGAUGAACUUCACAAGGCGGCACAUCAAAUUUUAGAAUUUUGUGACAAUCCGUGUUUUUUUAUGAAUUUCUAUUCAAAAACCGGCAAAAACAGAUGCCGGACGUGACGCAACGUGCGUUUGGUCUCCGAUUUCGUCGAAAUUUUGCGUGGCAUCAUUGCAUGUGCAUUCUCAGAUGCCGGCAAAAGUUGGGUGAAUUUCAUGAAUGAAUCCAUGUACUUCAUGUGCAACCCAUGGGUGUCGGUAUGGACGGAACGGGUGCUACAACGCCAUCUUGCAACUCCCCUUCAUGAAAUUUUUUCAUUUUUUUCCACGCUUCACGAUGAACUUCACAAGGCGGCACGUCAAAUUUUAGAAUUUUCUGACAAUCCGUGCUUUUUUAUGAAUUUCCAUUCAAAAACCGGCAAAAACACAUGCCGGACGUGACGCAACGUGCGUUUGGUCUCCGAUUUCGUCGAAAUUUUGCGUGGCAUCAUUGCAUGUGCAUUCUCACGUGACGGCAAAAGUUAUGUGAAUUUCAUGAAUGCAUCCAUGUACUUCAUGUGCAACCCAUAGGUGUCGGUAUGGACGGAAGGGGUGCUACAACACCAUCUUGCAACUCCCCUUCAUGAAAAAAUUUCAUUUUUUUUCAUGCUUCACGAUGAACUUCACAAGGCAAAAACAGAUCCCGGACAAUCCGUGCUUUUUAUGAAUUUCUAUUCAAAAACUGGCAAAAACAGAUGCCGGACGUGACACAACGUGCGUUUGGUCUCCGAUUUCGUCGAAAUUUUGCGUGGCAUCAUUGCAUGUGCAUUCUCACGUGACGGCAAAAGUUAUGUGAAUUUCAUGAAUGCAUCCAUGUACUUCAUGUGGAACCCAUGAGUGUCGGUAUGGACGGAAGGGGUGCUACAACGCCAUUUUGCAACUCCCCUUCAGGAAAAAAAAUUCAUUUUUUUCACGCUUCACGAUUAGCUUCACAAGGCGACACGUCAAAUUUUAAAAUUUUCUGACAAUUCGUGCUUUUUUAUGAAUUUCCAUUCAAAAACCGAAAAAAACAGAUGUCGGACAUGACGCAACGUGCGUUUGGUCUCCGAUUUCGUCGAAAUUUUGUGUGGCAUCAUUGCAUGAGCAUUCUCAGGUGUCGACAAAAGUUGGGUGAAUUUCAUGAAUGCAUCCAUGUACUUCAUGUGCAACCCAUGGGUGUCGGUAUGGACGGAAGGGGUGCUACAACGCCAUCUUGCAAAUCCCCUUCAUGAAAUUUUUUCAUUUUUUACACGCUUCACGAUGAACUUCACAAGGAGGCACGUCAAAUUUUAGAAUUUUCUUACAAUCCGUGCUUUUUAUGAAUUUCCAUUCAAAAACUGGCAAAAACAGAUGUCGGACGUGACACAACCACUAGUGGAAAACGGGCCUUUGGCCUGGACCCUUUAGUCCCGGCCUGCCUCUAGGCCCGGACUAAACUCCCGGCCACGGCGCCCCAAAUCGCAAUGCCUCCCACGAGGCUUUAGUCCCGGCCCGUAAGGAGCCUUUAGUCCCGGUUUGUGUCCCAAACCGGGACUAAAGGGCUAUACGGUGUGCAGCCCGCAUGUGCGCCACCUUUAGUCCCGGUUUGUGUCUCAAACCGGGACUAAAGUCCUCUGCCUAUAUAUAGCACAGCCCCCCUCUCCCCUCUUCCUUGCAUUUUUAUUGGAUGGAAGAGUGUGGGUGUGUGCUAGCUCUCCAUUUUUUUUAUGCACUAGAGGUGUUUGUUGAAAUGUGUGUUAGAGCGAUGUCGCUUCAGUUCACCGAAGACAACUACGAUAUGAGAUGCUUGAGCCACGCUUAAACCUCUUCCUCUUUAUUUGUACUUAUUCUAAAAGGUUAGCAACUAUAUUUCCUCGUUUAGACCGUGCGGUACUAAUUUUUAGGAUCGUGAUUGUAUUUGAUAUACUGUCGUAUAACACAGAUGAGUCAUCCAUGGAUGUACGGUGAUCGACGCACACCCGCUUACACAGAAGGCGUGUAUUCUUUUCGAGAUGCAGCCGAUGCGAACAAGCAUGGUGGUGGCUUUAUGUUUUGUCCAUCCGUUGAAUGUCGGAAUUAGAAGGAUUACACUUCCUCAAGAGUCAUUCAGAGCCACCUGCUUCGGUCCGGUUUUAUGUCGGGCUAUAAUGUUUGGACCAAGCACGGAGAAAGAGGGGUUAUGAUGGAAGACGACGAUGAAGAAGAAGAGAACGAUGAUGACAACUACCGAUCUAUGUUCCCUGAGUAUGCUGAUACCGCAAUGGAAGACAAUGAAGAAGAAGAUCAGGAUGAAGAACGGGAACCAGAUGAGCCCGCUGAUGAUCUUGGCCGGGUCAUUUCUGAUGCACGGCGAGGUUGCGACACAGAAAAGGAGAGGUUGCAGUUCGAGCAGAUGUUACAGGACCACAACAAAUUGUUGUACCCUACUUGUGAAGAUGCCCAGAAGAAGCUGGGUAGCACACUGGAAUUGCUGAAGUGGAAGGCAGAGACCGGUGUGACUGACUCGUCAUUCGAAAAGUUGCUGGUACUGAUGAAGAGGAUGCUUCCAAAAAAGAACGAAUUGCCCGCCAGCACGUAUGAAACAAAGAGCUUGUCUUCCCUCUAGGAUUAGACGUGCAGAAGAUACAUGCAUGCCCUAAUGACUGCAUCCUCUACCGCGGUGAGAAGUACGAGAAUAUGGAUAAAUGCCCGGUAUGCACUGCAUUGCGGUAUAAGAUCAGGAAAGAUGACCCUGGUGAUAUUGAGGGCGAGCCACCCAGGAAGAGGGUUCCUGACAAGGUGAUGUGGUAUGCUCCUAUAAUACCACGGUUCAAACGUCUGUUCAGAAAUAAAGAUCAUGCGAAGUUGUUGCGAUGGCACAUGGAAGAUCGUAUGAAAGAUGAUAAGUUGAGGCACACCGCUGAUGGUCGGCAGUGGAGAAAAAUCGAGAGAGAGUUCCCGAGAUUUGCAGCCGAAGCAAGGAACUUAUGGUUAGGUCUGAGUACAGAUGGCAUGAAUCCUUUUGGGGAGAAGAGUUGCAGUCACAGCACCUGGCCCGUUACUCUAUGUAUCUACAACCUUCCUCCUUGGUUGUGCAUGAAGCGGAAGUUCAUUAUGAUGCCAGCGCUUAUCCAAGGUCAAAAGCAACCCGACAACGAUAUUGAUGUGUACCUAAGGCCAUUAGUUGAUCAACUUUUACAGUUGUGGGCCGAACCAGGUGUACGUGUGUGGGACGAGCACAAACAAGAGGAAUUUGACCUUCAAGCGUUGCUUUUCGUAACCAUCAAUGAUUGGCCUGCUCUUAGUAACAUUUCAGGACAGUCAAACAAGGGAUACAAUGCAUGCACGAACUGUUUGGAUCAGACAGAAAGUAUAUAUCUGGACAAAUGUAGGAAGAAUGUGUACCCGUGCAAUCGUCGUUUUCUUCCGCCCAAGCAUCCCUUAAAGAAAAAAGGCAAGCAUUUCAAUGGCAAGGCAGAACCCCGGGGGAAGCCUGUCAUCCGUACUGGUGCUGAAGUAUUUGAUAUGGUCAAAGAUUUAAAAGUAAUCUUUGAAAGGGUCCUGGCAGCCAACCUGUUCCUAACGGCCCUAAUAAGCGCGUACCCAGGUGGAAGAAGAAAUCUAUAUUUUGGGAGCUACCCUACUGGGAAGUCCAUGAGGUCCGCUCGGCAAUCGACGUGAUGCACGUGACGAAGAAUCUCUGCGUGAAUAUUCUAGGCUUCCUGGGCUUGUAUGGGAAGUCAAAAGAUACACCGGAAGCACAGGAGGACCAGGAACGUCAUAAAGGAAGAGAUGGCAUGCAUCCAGGGCAGUUUCAACGGCGUGCCAGCUACGCUCUUACUAAGGAAGAGAAGGAAAUCUUCUUUGAAGUCCUUUUUAGUAUCAAGGUCCCGACUGGCUUCUCGUUGAAUAUAAAGGGAAUCGUAAAUAUGAAAGACAAAAAAUUCCAAAACCUAAAGUCUCAUGACUGCCAUGUGCUUAUGACGCAAUUGCUUCCGGUUGCAUUGAGGGGAAUUCUAUCGGAAAAUGUUCGCCUGGCAAUUGUGAAGGUAUGUGCAUUCCUCAAUGCAAUUUCUCAGAAGGUAAUCGAUCGAGAAAGUCUAUCAGGGUUACAGAUUGAUGUGGUCCAAUGUCUGGUCAGCUUUGAGUUGUUGUUCCCGCCAUCCUUCUUAAAUAUAAUGACACACCUCCUAGUUCACCUAGUCGAAGAGAUUAGAAUUCUCGGUCCUGUGUUUCUAUACAAUAUGUUCCCCUUCGAGAGGUUCAUGGGAGUCUUAAAGAAAUAUGUUCAUAACCGUGCUAGGCCAGAAGGAAGCAUCUCCAAGGGCUAUGGAACAGAGGAGGUCAUUGAGUUUUGUGUGGACUUUCUUCCUGACCUUAAGCCGAUUGGUGUUCCUGAAUCUCGGUAUGAGGGUAGGCUGACAGGAAAAGGAACACUAGGAAGGAAAGCAAAAGUAUGUAUGGACGGGCAUUCUUUCUCUCAAGCACACUACACAGUUCUACACAAUUCCACCGUGGUGGCUCCGUAUAUCGUGAGACACAAGAAUAUUCUACGCUCUGAAAACCCGUGGAAGGCUGACUCUUGGAUUAAAGGGGAACACGAGAAGACUUUCGGCAGUUGGUUGCAGACACAUCUCAUGAAUGAUGACACCGUUGGAGAUCAGCUGUACUGUUUGGCCAGGCCACCAUCUUUGACUAUAUGUACUAACCAAGGGUAUGAGAUAAAUAGGAAUACAUUUUACACGGUUGCCCAAGAUAAAAAGAGCACCAACCAAAAUAGUGGUGUCCGCUUUGAGGCAACAGACGAGAAUGGGCACUGUUUGGAAACAUAUUACGGGUACACAGAGGAGAUAUGGGAACUUGACUAUGGACCUACUUUUAAGAUCCCUUUGUUUCGGUGCAAAUGGGUGAAGCUGACAGGAGGCGGGGUAGUUGUAGACCAAAAGUACGGCAUGACAACAGUGGAUCUCAAGAAUCUUGCGUACAUGGAUGAACCAUUUGUCCUAGCCAAUGAUGUCGCUCAGGUUUUCUAUGUGAAGGACAUGUCUACAAAAACGAGAAAAAUAAAUCAGCAAAAGAAGAUAUCGUCCGAUGAGCCAAAACGCCACAUAGUUCUUUCAGGGAAAAGAAACAUCGUGGGAGUAGAGGACAAGACAGACAUGUCACAAGAUUAUAAUAAGUUUCAUGAAAUUCCGCCCUUCAAAGUGAAAACUGACCCAAGCAUCCUACUGAAUGAUGAAGAUUCUCCAUGGCUACGACCCAGAAGAAAACAGAAAUAAUAGAUAGGAAUAUUGGUGCAAUAAUGUAAUAAUAUAUUAAACCAUUUAUGUAAUGCAUGUAUGGAAUGUACUAAAUUUCAAACACUUUUCAUUUUCAUAGUUUUGUCAAAUUCUCAAAUAUGCAAAAAGAAUUUUAAUAAACCUUUGUAAGAGAUGAGUGCUUGUUCGAAACGCUGAUACUUCGAGAGAGAUUGUCCGUUUUGUACACGAAGUGCAUCCAGUUUUUUCCGUAGCCCUCUCAACUUUUUCACACAUGCUAUGUGGGUGAAAUGAUGAUAGCAUGCCAACUUUCAACAUUUUCAGAGUUCAUUUGUAGUGCUUUUCAAUUUCAGGGUCAACUAGCUCAAAAAAAAAUAAGUAAAUGCACGAAGAAUACCAAAUGAAGUCAGAAAUUGUUGAAAUUUUUUGAUGUGCCUUUGAAUGGUGCAUUUUGAACACACAAAAAUUAUGGAGUUCAAAUAAGUUGAAAAUAAUGAAAUCCCUUUGUAAGAGAUGAGUUCUCGUUCGAAACCCUGANNNNNNNNNNNNNNNNNNNNNNNNNNNNNNNNNNNNNNNNNNNNNNNNNNNNNNNNNNNNNNNNNNNNNNNNNNNNNNNNNNNNNNNNNNNNNNNNNNNNGCCUUGUGAAGUUCAUCGUGAAGCGUGAAAAAAAUGAAUUUUUUUUCAUGAAGGAGAGUUGCAAGAUGGCGUUGUAGCACCCCUUCUGUCCAUACCGACACCCAUGGGUUGCACAUGAAGUACAUGGAUGCAUUCAUGAAAUUCACCCAACUUUUGCCGGCACCUGAGAAUGGACAUGCAAUGAUGCCACGCAAAAUUUCAACGAAAUCGGAGACCAAACGCACGUUGCGUCACGUCCGGCAUUUGUUUGUGCCGGUUUUUGAAUGAAAAUUCAUAAACAAAGCACGAAUUAUUAGAAAAUUCUAAAAAUUGACGUGCUGUCUUGCAAAGUUCAUCGUGAAGCGUGGAAAAAAAUGAAUUUUUUUUAUGAAGGGUAGUUGCAAGAUGGCGUUGUAGCAUCCCUUCCGUCGACACCGACACCCAUGGUUUGCACAUGAGGGUAGUUGCAAGAUGGCGUUGUAGCACAACCUUCGUCCAUACCGACACCCAUGGGUUGCACAUGAAGUACAUGGAUGCAUUUAUGAAAUUUACCCAACUUUUNNNNNNNNNNNNNNNNNNNNNNNNNNNNNNNNNNNNNNNNNNNNNNNNNNNNNNNNNNNNNNNNNNNNNNNNNNNNNNNNNNNNNNNNNNNNNNNNNNNNGCGGCGGCUUCAUCCAUGUUCCGUGAAUUGCUACUAAUUCAUGUUGUAAUAUUAAACUUUAAUGAACUUGUAUGUCUCUGUGAAUUGCUACUAAUGUUUUGUUUGGCUAGUGCAUAGAGAUGCCGUUGUAUGUCGUGUACAAAGGUAAGGUUCCCGGAGUCUACGACGAUUGGGAGGAGUGUCGGAGACAGGUUCACCGUUUCAGCGGUAACAGUUAGAAAGGGUACACCACAAGGGCACUAUCUAGCGGGAGAGAGGAGGGAGCGUUGGAGGAACCGAAUGAAGACCAGUUUCAUCGCCAUUAUGCUCAUCGUGAUCACCUCAACUCUCUUCUAUGUGAUGGUUGUUUAGAUGAUCGAUAUCGGCUUGUAAUGUGAAGACAAACUCGCUACUCGCGGUCUCGAGACUUGUAAUGUUCUAACUUUGUUCGGUAUUUUAAAUUCGGAGACUAAUAUGGUGAAUUGUAUUCGGAGACUAAUCUUCUAUUGUAUUCGAUAAAUAUGUUGUUUAUAUGUUGUGCUCUCUAUAUUCUAUGCAAUAAUAUGUUUUGUAAUCUAUGCAAAUAUCAGGAAAAAAAAUAAUACCUAAUAUUCAUACUAANNNNNNNNNNNNNNNNNNNNNNNNNNNNNNNNNNNNNNNNNNNNNNNNNNNNNNNNNCCAUUAGUAAGCUAGAGCACAUGAAUAAAUAUGGCCCCUGGGAGGCAUACUAAUGGCGCACCAUGAGCUAUACUAAUGGCGCACUGCCUAGUGCACCAUUAGUAUACCAGAUACUAAUGGUGCAUCAUGAGCUAUACUAAUGGCGCACUGCCUGGUGCGCCAUUAGCAUACGAGAUACUAAUGGCGCACCAUGAGCUAUACUAAUGGCGCACUUCUUGGUGCGUGGCGCACCAUGAGCUAUACUAAUGGCGCACUACCUGGUGCGCCAUUAGUAAAAAAUUCUAAUGGCGUGAUGCUAGUGGCACACCUCUAGUGCGCCAUUAGUAGGCAAAACAGGUGCGCCACUAGCACGCCUUUUCCUAGUAGUGCCAAGUGCAGAUGUUUGUAGGACAGUAGCAGUUUUCCCUCAAGUGGGUGACCUAAGGUUUAUCAAUCAGCGGGAGGCAUAGGAUGAAGAUGGUCUCUCGCAAGCAACCCUGCAACAAAAUAACAAAGAUUCUCUUGAGUCCCCAACACACCCAAUACAAUGGUAAGUUCUAUAGGUGCACUAGUUCGGCGAAGAGAUGGUGAUAAAAUUGCAAUAUGGAUGGUAGAUAUAGGUUUUUGUAAUCUGAAAUUACAAAAACAGCAAGGCAACUAGUAGUAAAAGCGAGCACGAAUGGUAUUGCAAUGCGUGGAAACAAGGCCUAGGGUUCAUACUUUCAUUAGUGAAGUUCUCUCAACAAUGAUAACAUAAUUGGAUCAUAUAACUAGCCCUCAACAUGAAACAAAGAGUCACUCCAAAGUCACUAAUAGCGGAGAACAAACGAAGAGAUUAUUGUCGGCUACGAAACCACCACAAAGUUAUUAUUUCUGAUCGAUCUAUUCAAGAGUCCGUAGUAAAAUAGCAUGAAGCUAUUCUUUCCGUUCAAUCUUUCAUAGAGUUCGUACUAGAAUAACACCUUAAGAUACAUAUCAACCAAGACCCUAAUGUCACCUAGAUACUCCAUUGUCACCUCAAGUAUUCGUGGGCAUGAUUAUAAGAUAUGCAUCACAUAAUCUCAGAAUCAUCUAUUCAACGAACACAUAGAACUUGAAAGAGUGCCCCAAAGUUUCUACCGGAGAGUCAAAACGUGUGCCAACCCCUAUGCAUAGGUUCCCAAUGUCACGAAGCCGCAAGUUGAUCGCGAAAACAUACAUUGAGUACUCACAUGAAUCAAACGUGUGCCAACCCAUAUGCAUAGGUUCCCAAUGUCACAAACCCGCAAGUCGAUCACCGCAGAUAGACACGUGCAAGACAUACAUCAAGUGUUCUCAAAGACUCAAUCCGAUAAGAUAACUUCAAAGGGGAAACUCAAUUCAUUACAAGAAGGGAGAGGGGGAAGAACAUCAUAAGAUCCAACUAUAGUAGCAAAGCCCACGGUACAUCGAGAUAAAGACAUCUCAAGAACACGAGAGAGAGAGAUCAAACACAUAGCUACUGGUACAUACCCUCAGCCCCAAGGGAGAACUACUCCCUCCUCGUCAUGGAGAUCGCCGGGAUGAUGAAGAUGGCCACCGGAGAUGGAUUCCCCCUUCGGCAAGGUGCCGGAACGGGCUCCAGAUUGGUUUUUGGUGGCUACAGAGGCUUGCAGCGGCUGAACUCCCGAUCUAGGUUUCUUUUGGGGGGUUUCUGUAUUUAUAGGAAUUUAUGGCAGUGGAAUUACGUCGGUUGGGCCCACGAGGAGGUCACAAGCCUGGUAGGUGCGGCCUAGGGGGGGUCGCGCCUCCCGGGCUUGUGACUCCCUCAUGGCUCUUCUGGCCUUCUUCUAAACCUUCGGGGGUCUCUUUUGGUCCAAAAAAAUCAUCGCAAAGUUUUAUUCCAUUUGGACUCCGUCUAAAAAAGGGUCAAAAACACGAAAAAACAGAAACUGGCACUUGGCACUGAGUUAAUAGGUUAAUCCCAAAAAGAUAUAAAAUAGCAUAUUCAUGCAUAUAAAACAUCCAAAGUUGCCAAGAUAAUAGCAUGGAACCAUAAAAAAUUAUAGAUACGUUGGAGACGUACAAGCUCCAUGCUCAUGGAUCUUUAUACUCACUCUUUUUUGAAACGUUUGACACAUGCAAACCAUACCUGUUGGUACAAACGCAUGAAGAAACUCCAUGCAGAUGGAUCGUUUGGACUCAAUUGAUUUUGAAUCACUUGAGACAUACAAAUCAUACCACAUGGAACAAGAAAGUAACUUGUUGGAAAUAAUACAAUUUUGAUGUGUGCAGUCCAAUGAGUGCUGAGGCACGCAGUGGAUAUCGUUAUGUUCUUACUUCACUGAUGAUUUGAGUAGAUACAUGAGUAUUUACUUGAUGAAUCACAAGUCUGAAAUAUUGAAAAGUUCAAGGUUAUUUCAGAGUGAAGAUCAUCGUGACAAGAGGAUAAACUGUCUACAUAUGAUCAUAGAGAUGAAUACCCGAGUUGCGAGUUUUGGUACACGGUUAAGACAAUGUGGAAAUUGUUUCGCAAUUCAUGCCACCUAGAACACGAUAGUGUGAUGGUGUGUCCGGACAUCAUAGCCGCGCCCUAUUGGAUAAAGUGCAUACUAUGAUGUCUCUAAUCGUAUUACCACUAUGGUUUAUUCGUUAUGCAUUAGAGACAACCGCAUUCACUUUAAAUAGGGCACUAUGUAUUUCCGUUGAGAUGACAAAGUAUGAACUAUGGUUUGGAGAAACCUGAGCUAUUGUUUCUUGAAAGUUUGGGGCUUUGACGCUGAUGUGAAAAAGUUUUAGUCUGAUAAGCUCGAACCCAAAGCAGAUAAAUGCAUCUUCAUAGGAUAUCCAAAAUAGUUGGGUACAUCUCCUAUCUCAGAUCCAGAAGCAAAGUGUUUGUUUCUAGAAACGGGUCCUUUCUCGAGGAAAGGUUUCUCUCGAAAGAAUUGAGUGGGAGGGUGGUGGAACUUGAUGAGGUUGUUGAAUCGUCACUUCAACUAGUGUGUAGCAGGGCGCAGGAAGUUGUUCCUGUGGUGCCUAGACUAAUUGAAGUGGAAACUCAUGAUGGUGAUCAUUAAGCUUCGGAUCAGGUUACUACAAACCUCGUAGGUCGACAAGGUCGCGUACUACUAGAGAUUGGUACAGUAACCNNNNNNNNNNNNNNNNNNNNNNNNNNNNNNNNNNNNNNNNNNNNNNNNNNNNNNNNNNNNNNNNNNNNNNNNNNAUGAACCUACGAGCUAUGGAGAAGCGAUGAUGGGCCUGGAUUCCGGCAAAUGGCUGGAGGCCAUGAAAUCCGAGAGAGGAUCCAUGUAUGGAAACAAAGUGUAGACUUUAGAAGAACUACUUGUGGGUCGUAAGACUAUUAAGUAAGGAUGGAUCUUUAAAAGGAAGACAAACGAUGAUGGUGAAAAGUCACCAUUAAGAAAAGCUCGACUUAUCGCAAAGAUGUUUUCGACAAGUUCAAAGAGUUGACUAUGAUGAGACUUUCUCACUCGUAGCGAUGCUAAAAGUCUGUUGGAAUUAUGUUAGCAGUUGAUGCAUUAUUUAUGAAAUAUUGCACAUAGGAUGUCAAAACAUUGNNNNNNNNNNNNNNNNNNNNNNNNNNNNNNNNNNNNNNNNNNNNNNNNNNNNNNNNNNNNNNNNNNNNNNNNNNNNNNNNNNNNNNNNNNNNNNNNNNNNUCAGUAAUAUUAAGAGUUAUGUUAGUAGGGUGUUGUGAAUCUAGAAAUACUUGUGUUGAAGUUAGUGAUUCCCGUAGCAUGCACAUAUGGUGAACCGCUAUGUUAGGAAGUCGGAGCAUAAUCGAUCUAUUGAUUGUCAUCCUUUGUGUUGAGGUCGGGAUCGCGCGAUGGUUUACACCUACCAACCCUUCCCCUCGGAGUAUGCGUUUAGCACUUUGUUUCGAUUACUAAUAAAAACUUUUUCAACAACUAUGUGAGUUCUUUAUGACUAAUGUUGAGUCCAUGGUAUAGAUGCGCUUUCACCUUCCACCAUUGCUAGCCCCUCUAGCGCCGCGCAAUUCUCGACGGUGCACAAACCCACCAUAUGCCUUCCUCAAAACAGCCACCAUACCUACCUACUAUGGCAUUUUCAUAGCCAUUCCGAGAUAUAUUGCCAUGCAACUCCCACCGUUCCGUCUCAUGACUUGUGCCGUCACUCUCAUAUUGCCUUUGCAUGAUCAUAAGAUAGCUAGCGAGAUGUUUCAACGUCAUACGCACAUCCCGGUACACUGCCAGAGGCAUUUCCUAUGGAGUCAUCAUCAUUGUGAUCUUUGAGCUGUGAGUAAAUAGAAGUGUGAUGAUCAUCAUUAUUAGAGCAUUGUCCCAUGUGAGGAAAAAAAGAGGACAAAGAGCCCCAAAAAAGGGAGAUAAAAGAAAAAAAAAGAGGCCUAAGAGCCCAAAUAAAAAAAGAGAGAGAAAAAGAGAGAACGGACAAUGCUACUAUAUUUUUCCACACUUGUGCUUCAUGUUAGCACCAUGUUCUUCAUGAUUGAUAGCUUCUUGCUUUGUCACUACCAUAUGCUAGUGGGAAUCUUUUAUAUAAACUGGCUUGUAUAUUCCAAUGAUGAGAUUCCUAAAAAUUGCCCUAGGUCUUCGUGAGCAAGCAAGUUCGAUGCACACCCACUAGUUUUUCCUUUUGAGCUUUCACAUACUUAUAACUCUAGUGCAUCUCUUGUAUGGAAAUCCCUACUCAUUCACAUUGAUAUCUAUUAAAGGGCAUCUCCAUAGCCUAUUGAUACGCCGAGUCAAAGUGAGCAUCUCCUCCUUUUUUGUCUCACAACCACCACUACACUCUAUUCCACCUAUAGUUCUAUAUCCAUGGCUCGCGCUCAUGUAUUGCGUGAUAGUUAUAAAAAGUUUGAGAAAUUAAGAGUGCGAAAACAACUUACUUGGCCAAUUCUGUGGUUGUGCAUGAUUUACAUUAGUUGUGUGAGGAUGAUGGAGCAUAGCCAGACUAUAUGAUUUUGUAGGGAUAACUUUCUUUGGCCUUGUUAUUUUGAAAGUGCAUGAUUACCUUCCUAGUUUGCUUGAAGUAUUAUUGUUUUCAUGUCAAUAGAAAACUAUUGUUUUGAAUUGUACGGAUCUGAACAUUCAUGCCACGUGAAAGAAGUUACAAAGGACAACUAUGCUAGGUAGCAUUCCACAUCAAAAAUUCAUUCNNNNNNNNNNNNNNNNNNNNNNNNNNNNNNNNNNNNNNNNNNNNNNNNNNNNNNNNNNNNNNNNNNNNNNNNNNNNNNNNNNNNNNNNNNNNNNNNNNNGAAUUAAGCAUGGGGAUGCUUGAUACGUCUCCAACGUAUCUAUAAUUUUUGAUGGUUUCAUGCUAUUAUCUUGUCAAACUUUGGAUGUUUUGCAUGCCUUUUAUUUAUUUUUUUGGGACUAACUUAUUAACUCAAUGCCAAGUACCAGUUCCUGUUUUUUCCAUGUUUUUGACCCCUUUCAGAGGAGAUUUUGAAACGGAGUCCAAACGGAAGAAAAUCCCCGAAAAGAUUUUUUCUGGAACGGAAGAAGAUCGGAGGACUUGGGAGCCAAGCCAGAAGAGCCCCAGGGGCCCCACAAGCAGCCACCCCGCGGCCAGGGGGGCCCGCCAUGCAGGCUUGNNNNNNNNNNNNNNNNNNNNNNNNNNNNNNNNNNNNNNNNNNNNNNNNNNNNNNNNNNNNNNNNNNNNNNNNNNNNNNNNNNNNNNNNNNNNNNNNNNNNNNNNNNNNNNNNNNNNNNNNNNNNNNNNNNNNNNNNNNNNNNNNNNNNNNNNNNNNNNNNNNNNNNNNNNNNNNNNNNNNNNNNNNNNNNNNNNNNNNNNNNNNNNNNNNNNNNNNNNNNNNNNNNGGGUUUUCAUCAUUGGUUUGAGAUUAUCCCUCUACAUCAUGUCAUCUUGCUUAAAGCAUUACUCUGUUCGUCAUGAACUCAAUACACUAGAUGCUUGCUGGAUAGCGGUCGAUGUGUGUAUUAAUAGUAGUAGAUGCAGAAAGUAUCAGUCUACUUGUCUCGGACGUGAUGCCUACAUGUAUGAUCAUUGCCUUAGAUAUCGUCAUGACUUUGCGUGGUUCUAUCAAUUGAUCGACAGUAAUUUGUUCACCCAUAGUAAUACUUGCUAUUUUGAGAGAAGCCUCUAGUGAACACUAUGGCCCCGAGGGUCUACUCCACACCAUAUUUUCAGCCUUGCACUUUUUACUUCGUUGCACUUUCCGCCUUCAGAUCUCACUUUGCAAACAAUCUUGAAGGGAUUGACAACACCUUUGAAGCGUUGGGUGCAAGCUUGUUUGUGUUUGCGCAGGUACUCUGGACUUGACGAGACCCUCCUUCUCGAUCGAUGCGUUGGUUCUCAAACCGAGGGAAUUACUUACUCUUCCCGUGCUGCAUCACCCUUCGUCUUCAAGGGAAAAACCAACGCAAGCCCAAUCUCCGACAACGUGUCAAUUUCUGGUGCUGUUGUUUGAGAAGUAGCAAUAGACUGUUGGAAAUAUAUUAUGGAGGUGGUUAAAAAGUUCGUCGUAAAGGGNNNNNNNNNNNNNNNNNNNNNNNNNNNNNNNNNNNNNNNNNNNNNNNNNNNNNNNNNNNNNNNNNNNNNNNNNNNNNNNNNNNNNNNNNNNNNNNNNNNNAAGAGUUGAUGCCUUCGACCCAUUAUCGAGACCUUUGGAACAGUUCCAAAGCCUGCAGGACAUGCUCCAAGGGUAAUUUCAAUCAUUCUUGCGCUCUAUCGGUCUCUUUCGAUGAUUUUCUCAUAUAUCAAUUAAUGAAAAACUUAGCAAAUCAUUAUCCUUGUCGGAAUGGGUUUGGAAGCGGUUCAAGUGCGUGACUCCCGGUAUCGAGCAUGAGAAGCUGACCUUUAGAGCGGCUCAGGUAAGUAGUAGUAUGAUAUACUUCUAUUUUCAAUACAUUUAUGAUGCUAGAUUAUUAUUUUGAUUAUAUAUAUUCUAUUCUCGUAAAGUGCGACCAGCAGCCACGGGGGACGCAUCUAUGCGGAUACUAUGUUUGCGAGACCAUUCGCACGUUUACCUGUGAGCACAAGGAUCACAGAUUCGACGUAAGCAAUGAACAUUCACACCUCUAUUUUUACCCGUCAUUCUUUGUUAUCAUGAUUGAUAUUCAUAUUCAUCUCCUCUUCUUAUAUAGUACACGGCCAUGAGGAAGAAGUCCCUACCAGAGCAACGCGCAAUUGCUGUUGCAGAGGAGCUUGCGACCUUUCUGAGGACGGAAGCUAUAGAUGACAAAGGACGAUUUAGUGUAGCUAGGGGCCAUUACUGAUGUUGGUCCAUGUAAUCGAACAGACGGGCUCUAGUCCCGAUAAUUCAGAUCUCCAUAUAAUUGUAUAUAUAUGCUCGCUUGUAAGAUAAGUUAAUCUUAUAUAUAUAUGCAUAAUUAUUUCUAUUUAGAAUUAUAUCAAAACUAAUUCCCGAACACCAAACGAGGCAUCACGUUAAUCUCCCGAACACCUAAACCCUAAAACUCUAAAACCCAAAAAUAAACAAAAACUGAAACUCUUUAGUCCCGGCCCGUGUUAAGAACCGGGACUAAAGGGCCUGCCCCUGAGGACGCUCUGAGGCGCCCACGUGGAGCACCUUUGGUCCCGGCUUGGAACAGGGUCGGGACUAAAGGUUAGGCCUUUAGUCCCGCCCCUUUAGUCCCGGUUGGUGAACCGGGACUAAAGCCCCUUACGGGCCGGGGCUANNNNNNNNNNNNNNNNNNNNNNNNNNNNNNNNNNNNNNNNNNNNNNNNNNNNNNNNNNNNNNNNNNNNNNNNNNNNNNNNNNNNNNNNNNNNNNNNNNNNCCGCGCCCUCUCCCUCCCUGCCGGCCCUCCGCUUGUGGGACACGCCCCCACGCCGCUCGGCACUGCGCGGAGGAAGGCCCCGCCGGAGAUCUCGUCCAUGGCGGCGACGAAGGCGUCGAGGUCGGCCAGGAGGGGCUCGGCGAGCAUGAGUGCAUCGGGGGUGGGGGAGGCGGGGGUGGCGGUGAAGAGGAGCGCGCGGGCGAAGAGCAGGUCGUGCGCGCGGGAGGCGGAGGCGGCGUGCGCGAGGAGGCCCUGGGAGAGGCGCGAGAGGACGGUGUGGGAUGAGGGGUCGGAGGGGGCCGGGUCGGCGAGGACGAAGAAGGAGGAGUGGACACCAACUCUGAUGACGAUUUGAUGCGUUUUGAUUUGAUCCACCUCCGAGCGACGGAUCUAACUUCUUGUUUCUGCCGUGCAACCUUAGGUGGUGGUGGUGGUGUCCCCGCCAUGGGCAAGCAGAAGGCGGUCAUGGCCGGCGACCCCAAGAACACCUACCGCGCCCUGGGGGACGAUAAGCCCCCUCCCCCACAUCGCCAACGUCGUCCACAUCCGCGUGGCCGAAGGGUAAGGAGGAGAAACCUACCCGAGAGGGUGUUCGACGGAAUGCCGGACGGGGACGUCGUCACCUGGAACUCCAUGGUCGACGGCUACGUGUCCAACGGCCUCGGGGCGCUCGCGCUCGUCUGCUUCAGGGAGAUGCGUGAGGCGCUGGAGAUGCAGCAUGACGGUGUCGGGAUCAUCGCCGCGCUUGCAGCUUGCUGCUUGGAGUCGGCUCUAAUGCAAGGGCGGGAGAUCCACGCCUACGUGAUCAGGCACGGGAUGGAGCAUGACGUCAAGGUUGGCACUUCUAUCCUUGACAUGUACUGCAAGUGUGGCGACAUUGCUUCUGCCGAGGGCGUGUUUCCGACGAUGCCAUCGAGGACCAUGGUGACAUGGAAUUGCAUGAUAGGUGGGUAUGCGCUCAAUGAACGACCUGAGGAGGCAUUUGACAGCUUCGUGCAAAUAAAGGCAGAGGGCCACCAGGUGGAAGUGGUCACUGCUAUUAAUUUGCUCGCUGCCUGUGCUCAAACUGAGAGCUCACUGUAUGGAAGGAGUGUUCAUGGUUACAUAACUAGAAGACAGUUUCUUCCUCACGUGGUGCUUGAGAUUGCUCUUCUCGAGAUGUACAACAAAGUUGGAAAGUGAAAUCAUCGGAGAAGGUAUUUGGACAGAUGACGACCAAAACUCUGGUAUCAUGGAACAAUAUGAUCGCUGCCUACAUGUACAAGGAGAUGUACAUGGAAGCGAUCACAUUGUUCCUCGACUUACUGAAUCAGCCGCUUUACCCUGAUUAUUUCACCAUGUCGGCAGUAGUACCGGCGUUUGUUUUGCUGGGGUUGCUAAGACAAUGUAGGCAAAUGCGCAACUACAUUAUCAGGCUAGGUUACGGGGAGAGCACUCUCAUCAUGAACGCAGUUAUGCAUAUGUAUGCUAGGUGUGGUCAUGUUCUGUCCUCAAGGAAGAUAUUUGACAAAAUGGCAGCUAAGGAUGUGAUCUCCUUGAACACAAUGAUAAUGGGUUAUGCGAUUCAUGGUCAGGGGAGAAGUGCACUAGAGAUGUUCUCCGAGAUGAAACGUAAUGGUCUGCAACCAAAUGAGAGUACCUUUGUCUCCGUGUUCACUGCUUUGCAGUGUCUCAGGCUUGACGGAUGAAGGUUGGACACAGUUCAAUUUGAUGCAACGUGACUAUGGUGUGAUCCCACAGAUUGAGCACUACGGAUGCAUGACAGAUCUUCUCGGUCGGGCAGGUGAUCUUAAAGAGGUUAUGAAAUUUAUUGAAAAAAUGCCAAUAGAUCCAACAUUCAGGGUUUGGGGCUCCCUACUGACCGCAAGCAGGAACAACAAUGAUAUAGACAUAGCAGAAUAUGCAGCAGAGAGGAUAUUCCAACUAGAACACGACCAAUUGGAACAUGACAACACAAGUUGCUAUGUUCUUAUUUCUUCCAUGUACGCCGAUGCUGGGAGAUGGAAGGAUGUCGAGAGAAUAAAAUCACUGAUGGAAGAGAAGGGGCUCCGAAGGACAGAUCCAAGAAGCAUAAUUGAGCUUCAUGGUAUCUCCUGCAGAUUUGUCAACGGGGACAUGACACACCCUGAGAGCAAGAUGAUACAAGGAGUGUCCAACUUUGUGUCAGGAAAGAUUGGAGAAAUGAGGGUCCCGACGAAUCGAUCCGAUCCAACCUCUCUGGAGUCGAGGAGAACAACAGAGCCUAACAAGCAUAGUGUGAGGCUGGCUGUCGUUUUUGGUCUGAUAUCAACCGAGGCCAGAACUGCAGCCCGUGCUCCGGCGGGAGCUGCAGCUGGUGGGCGUCUCCGCCCUCCUGAUUGCCUGCAAGUACGAGGAGAUCUGGGCUCCUGAGGUAAGCUUGAUAGCAUUGCAUCCCUCCGCUUUUCUCCACUGACCAGUGUUCGUUCAUUCAUUGAAUCCAUGUUUUGACUGGUGUCUGCGUACGUACUCUUGGAGGUGAAUGAUUUCAUACUGAUCUCCAACAAUGCCUACAUGAGGGAGCAGAUUCUAAAGAUGGAGAAGGCGAUCCUCAACAGGCUCGAGUGGAGCCCGAGGAUGCCCAUGCUCUACGUCUUCCUCGUGCGCUUCGCCAAGGCCGUGUCUUCCUCCUCAGACCACAAGAGCGACAAGGAGGUAAAAAGAACUUCAGAUUUUUACAUGUAAAUUCUUCAGAUGUAUUUGCCAUUUUGCCAAAGCAGCGAGUCUGUGUGCUGAUUGAUGUUUCUCCCUCGUCUUCCCCUGGAUGUGUGUGCAGAUGGAGAACACCGUCUUGUUCUUCGUGGAGCUGGCGCUGCUGCAGUACGGGCUGGUGCAGUCCAAGCCCUCCACGGUCGCCGCCGCUGCUGUCUACGCUGCCAGGCUCACCCUCAAGAUGACCCCGCUGUGGACCGACACCCUUAGGCACCACAAUGGCUUCACUGAAGCGCAGCUGGUGUAAGCAUGCACUGAAUCAUCUCCAUUGUGGCUUGGACCUGUGAUUUCAUUCAGUUCAGGGGCACCGACAGAGACAACUCUUUUCUGUGAUGACUGAUUUCAGGGACGCUGCCAAGAUCCUGAUCGGAGGGCAUGGUAUUAAGUUGCGGUUCUUUGGCCAGGAGACAAGGCAAACAUGUCGCUGGCAUGGACGGUAGGCGAUUGCGGAUUGGUCCGACCAAAGGUAGCCUAACCCCAGCGAGCCUCUUGUUUUGUUCAGGUAAAAUUCCUUAUUCCCUUUCCUCUUCCGUAUCUUUUUCUUUAAUUUGUACUGCUUGCUUAAUUAUUUGUUUGUUUGGUGAGAUAGAGGAAAUAAGAUGAGUAUAUUUGAUCACAUAAGAGGAAUUAUGUGUCAUUUCCAUGUGGUCUGUUGGUGCAGGUACUUACUUUGCUCCACGUUGCUUAUCGUCGUAGCUGCAUCCAACAUCCAUAGUCAAAUGCUACCAUAUGUUAGGAAGUUUAUGUUGAUAUGUGUUUCUGAUAUAUUCGCCGAAUGCGGAUGUGGGAAAGGUCACACGAUUGGGGUCAGCAAAAGGGAGUAGACAUAUUUAUUCAUGGCUUUCGGCUCUUAUUUUGAUCUAGAUGGUGACAUUGACCAGGGGCGGUAGCUGCUACAAAAUAAGGAGGAAUUGCUACAGGCAUAGGUUUGUAGAGGCUUGGGUCUGCUGGGAGGCGCCAUGCGACAAUGUAGGUGGGGAAGGUCGGUAUCGUGGGCUCGUGGCCCUCGUGGGAGACGGGCUCAUCUCCAACAUGGUGGCGUUCUGGCGCAUGGUGGCUGCGCUGGAGGAGAACGGUGGCGGUGGCGUUCAGAUCAACAUGUUGAUUAGUUUAGACAAUUUAUUUUUUGCACACGGCUAAGAUUUCCGGUAGUACUUAAAGAAUCUAAAUCCAUGUUCAUAUUAUAUUGGAGGCAGCAAAAUUGGUUUCAACGCUUGUGCUGCUGUACAGUGAAAAAAGAAAGGGAUGAUCACUACCAGAAUAACGCUCGCUGCCGACGGCCUGGUCGGGUACACCGACGUUCGCGACCCCGAAGGUGCUAUGCCGAAGGUGGCCGUUGAUAUACCCCUACGCCGAUGCCAUAUGGCCCUACGUCGAAGCCCUCAAUGCCAAUAAGCUUCUACGGUUAUGGGUUGGUAAGCUUGUGAUUCCCCGCAGUUGGUUCUCUCUUAUCUUUUAAACCUUAAUGGCCUGAACUUCAUUCCAAUUCAUUUUUGUGCUUCUUCUAAUUUUGUAUGGCCAGCUAUGUUUCCCAAGUAUGCGCCAACGAUAAAUUAUUCCAGACAUUGUUGCACCGUCUUGCAUGAGCUUUUGGUGCAACUUACCGUUUUCUGUAUCAGGUACACAUUUUUUGUUAACUAAUAUCACAUGAUUAGAAAUUCUUAUUAUGAUGUCUUUGUGAACUUAUUUGAAAAUGAUAAAUCAAUAAAGCAUUUUUGUGUUUACCUUGCUAGAGUUACUUGGCUGCAUUUAUUUUUUGCUUCGCUCGUGCCAUUUUUCAUUUUUGUUGUUUAUGUUAUCAAUGAAUUUUGUACCACGUGUAUUCCUCUUAGCUCUAUGGUUGAAAGAUUAACUUGGUUUUCCUACAAGUUGGAUGAGCAACUAUCGAACCAUGAAUAGAAAUAUUUACAUAAGCUGUUCUAGAAAGGAUAAGAAGAGCCUCAAGGAUCUAAAAAGUAAAAUACUAACCUGCACGCAAUCAUAAAAUGUACGAAACUUUGAGUAUUUCUUUUCUGAACUUUGAAUGGAAGUUCAACGCUAGAAAUAGCACACGGUAAUAUUUUUUUGCAUUGAAUCUUACCUUCUUAACAUGUCUAUAUAUAAAAAAAAAAGACGUGGGUGUGUGAGUGCAUCAUUUUUCUAGGAAACUACCAUGCGACUUGGGUUAGCCUGAACGAUAUUUCACGGGCGAUUAUUAUGCUAGACUUUGACAGGAAGAAACAAGUGGUCAGUGUGUGGGUGCAUGAUUUUCUUUAUAUGAAUGGUUUUGUGUUUCUGACAUGAAUAUGUUGGUUUGCCAUGUCAACAUGCUUAAACUAUAUAUUUAUUUUCAUUCCCAGCCUAAACAGAUAAUGUUUUCCUGUGGUGUAGCUGUGUAGGAAAUCACCAGGCUUCCGUCACGAUGGUCUUGUGGGAUGGCAAUCACGAUUGUUUUUGGACUGUUAUUAGAUUCAUGAAUACUAUGAACACUCUGGCUUGACCUCUUUGCCACCAUCAGAAGCGCACUUAGUCCAGGACACCUUGUUGCAAAAAUGUUAAUUAUAGGAUAUAACAAACAUCCACUAAUGCGAGUUCUUGCUGAGGGGAGAUGAUACUCUAAUUUGCAUGUGUAUGAAUUAACGAAGCUCCUCCUUUGACACGAUGGAGAGCUUCCCAUGUGCAGAACAAUUGUAGAAGCAUAUUGGGGACCUUUAAAACACAAAUGUCUGACUGGUCUUGAGAUGCAAGUGUAGAUGUGAUCUUUAGAUGAAUCAAGAGUGAAUACGGUAGUAGAAGAUAAUAUUCGAUGAACCAGUGGGUCGAGUGGGCCUAAUGUACAUGGUCAAGAAUGAAUGCAAACAUUUGACUUUUGUUUUGACAUUUUACUAGCUUCUGGCAUAUUUAUCUUUAUCUUUUGGAUCCUACAAGUGACAUGUAUACCAUAUUCUUUUAGUUUCUAUUAGUAGAAAAAUAUAUGUUUCAAACAUAACACCUAUUCGAUUAAUGGGUGAAUGCUUCAUUGAUGUUUGAUUUGCUAGCACCAAGAAGAUUCAGUACCCGAUAUAAAGAUUUUGAAGGCUCAUGACUAGAGUAAAUACUUAUAGGAAUGCACAAGAUAGUCCAAUUUACUAUUAAUUUGGGUACUAGAAGUAUGCGUUAAAGGAACAUUUUCUUUGGAGCAAACACGAUACAUGACACUACGUGAAAUAACUUUAAUCAUCAUGAUGACACAAGCAACAUCUCGAUAAAAUAGCAGCCAGCAUAAUCAUUAAUUCUCGUGGCAACGCACAUUCAUUUAACUAGUAUAUUUAAAUUGAAUAUGAAGGGUGUCGAUUAGUUCGGGUGUUUGAGACCCGUUUAACGCGCCGGUAUGGAUCGUUUUAUUUUAGGCCACGUUCAUCCUCCAGCGUGCGACGAGGUGGGCGACGUGCAGGCUCCUCCGAUUAUUCUACUGAUCUCUCAAAUAUAUAUAAGUUUACCGGCAGCAUGUACCAUUAAUUCCACCCAUCACCCAUCACCCACGAUUCCCACAUAGGAGUAGUAAAAAGAGAGACGGAUCCGACUACUGAGCUAAGCAACACCGGCCGCAACAAUGGAGGAGGAGGGUCUGGUGAGCGCAGCGACGGGGGCGCUGCAGCCCGCGCUGGCAAAGCUGGCCGCGCUUCUCGGCGACGAGUACAAGGAGGUGCGCGGCGAGGUCGAGCUCCUCACCCGCGAGCUGGCGGCCAUGGACGCCUUCCUCCUCACCAAGUCGGAGGAGGAAGAGGAUCACAGCUCGCAGGACAAGGCCUGCAUGCACGAGAUCCGGGAGCUCUCCUACGACAUCGACGACGACCUCGGCGGCUUCAUCAUGGCUAGCGUCCCCGACAAGUCCGCCGAGCUGGCCGGACUCUUGGACAAGAUGCAGGCCAUGCUGGGCCGUACCAAGGCUCGUCACCAGAUGAUCGCCACGGCCGUCGAUGAUCUCAAGGAGCAGGUCGUCAAGGUCGCCGAGAGGCACAGCCACCACAAGAGGCCCAAGGUUGAUGAUGGUAGAGCUCUCGCCACCGUCAACAACGCGUCGUCCGAGCUCGUCGGCAUUGAUGGGCCCAAGGAAGAGCUCAUCCAACUACUCACCGGUUCUGAUUCAGAGUCAACGCAGCAGCAACCAAACCCAAGCUUGGUGGCCAUUGUUGGGUCCGGAGGAAUGGGCAAGACAACUCUGGCAAAACAAGUUUAUAAAGACCUCAAGCAAAUCCAAUUCAAUUGCCAUGCUGCUUUCUGUUCCGUGCCACGGAGUUCAGACAAGGUCCAGGUUAUCCGCGCCAUUUACAAGAAACUGAACCGUUCGUAUUAUCCUUCUCCUGACGAGGAUUUACGACAGCUUGUCACCAUGAUUUCAGACUUCCUCGAAGACAAACAGUAUGGCUUCAAAAUUUAAACUAUCCUUUAAUAUAUUUUUUGAACCACUAUUCACUAGUACUCCCUUUGUCACGAUUUAAAAGACAUGGUUAAAUUUACGUGCAUUUCCAUAAUAGACAAGGUUUAACACGCAUUGCAUUUACUCCUAACAACUAAUUGUUACUUCGUUAUACUCAUGGGUGCGUAGUGUGAAUGCUGAUUUCAGUCCAUAUCACAGCCAAUCAAUAGCUACCUAGGUUUAAGAUAAUUUCUAAGUACGCCUUCUAAACCGUAACGGCGGUAGUACAUAUAGUAUGGGUCCAAGUAUUUAGGUGUAUGCGUACGUUUUUUACAUUUCUCAUGUAUAAGCGAAAUUUUUAUAACAAUAAUUGUACGUUAUCCUAAAUUCACAAAACUCUGAAAUAAAACUAUGCGGUAUUAUAAAUUUUAAUUAUAGUGCUUAUGAGCUGAAAUCUCCACUUAUCUAAAGAAGCNNNNNNNNNNNNNNNNNNNNNNNNNNNNNNNNNNNNNNNNNNNNNNNNNNNNNNNNNNNNNNNNNNNNNNNNNNNNNNNNNNNNNNNNNNNNNNNNNNNNUGCGUUUAAAUAUUCGUUUACAUUUCACAAACAUAAAUAAAGGAUAGUACGAAUUCCAUCUUGUAUCUUGAAAUGUCGUGUCUGCUACUUGGAAUAGCAUUUUUUAAGAUCAUAUUUAUUUGAACCACGUAUACUGUCAAAACUGUUGUUUGGCUAUUGGCUCGCCGUGUGGCUAUAAGCUGCCGGAAUGUUUGAAAUACCAAAGCUUUGUUGUUUUGUUAAUUUAAGUGUAAAUUCAUAUGUAUUAACAUGAAUUCACAUGUAUAUUCACACUAUUUAUUAUUUUAUAUUGGUAUGUUAUUCACUAUUUUAUAUAACAUUUCCUAUUUAUAAAGUUGAUUUUUUUUGUUGAAAAGGGCGUUUUAUUACNNNNNNNNNNNNNNNNNNNNNNNNNNNNNNNNNNNNNNNNNNNNNNNNNNNNNNNACUUAAAAGAUUUAAGUACACCCAGCCUCUGCAUAGUUAAAAUGCACACAGCCAAUCAAUGUCCUCUCCCUCUAAAAUGAAAAAUAAAAAGGCGGAAUACAAUGAAACAUGUAGAAUAUGUAUAAUGCCUAAAGCGGAGGGGGGCCAAUCCUAAGAUCAUGCUGUUAUCUAAAGANNNNNNNNNNNNNNNNNNNNNNNNNNNNNNNNNNNNNNNNNNNNNNNNNNNNNNNNNNNNNNNNNNNNNNNNNNNNNNNNNNNNNNNNNNNNNNNNNNNNGAUGUCCAGGCUCGAUAGGAUUUGGACCAAUUUUGAAACAAAUAUAUGGUAGGUCCUUCACAAAAAAACUCAUUUCGGGCACUUGAAAAAUGAAAAAUGAAUUUUUCAUACAAGAAAGAUGAAAACUUCCUUAAUCAACAUUGUUUGUCAUUUCAACAUGCACCAUUAGGCAAAAUAUGAGACCAUUUCAACAAACUAUGCCAUGAAUAUGGCCAUGAGAUUGAUCAUGUGGCUUGAAAGCCAUGAAUCUUCACACAUGAUAGCUCAUUUGUGUGAACACUUUUUAAAAAUAAUUGUCGUAUUACAAGUUUAUUAUUUUACAUGGUAACUUUAUCACAUAUGAUGACAUAAUGCAAAGGUUUCCCAUUUUUUUGAUUUUGUUUGAAUUUUUCAUGCCCGUUUCAAAAUGCGGUCGAAACGGCGGGCAUGACCGUUCCUACCUAGUGGUUGAAUCUUGGAAACCUUUUAGUGUUUCUAUGAUUAAAUAGAUACUUUUGUACCUAGAUAUGAUUUUUGGAAAAAAUAAAGAGCAAACUAUAAGGAAGUCGCAGUUCAAAUUUGACCCGCUUCCAACUGAUUCGACAUAGAUUUGUCUUUUUCAUGAGAGAUGGAUAAAAGCUUUUGACACCCAACCAUUUUGUCAAUUGUACAUUAAAUAUGGCCUAGUAUGUUAGAAAAAUGAUUUGGACCAAUUUUGAAACAAAUAUAUGGUAGGUCCUUCACAAAAAAACUCAUUUCGGGCACUUGAAAAAUGAAAAAUGAAUUUUUCAUACAAGAAAGAUGAAAACUUCCUUAAUCAACAUUGUUUGUCAUUUCAACAUGCACCAUUAGGCAAAAUAUGAGACCAUUUCAACAAACUAUGCCAUGAAUAUGACCAUGAGAUUGAUCAUGUGGCUUGAAAGCCAUGAAUCUUCACACAUGAUAGCUCAUUUGUGUGGCUUAAAACACAUUUGCAACAAAUAAGGAGUCACUUAAACCAAUCUAUGAACAAAUAAGAUACAACAAGUAAGAUCAACCAAUCUAUCAACAUACUUGGGUUGAACAAAGAUAAAGUCACUUAAUCAUAUAUAAUUAAGAGAUUCUUCUCAUGUUGCAUUACAACAUUGCUACAAAAGAGCAACAUACCAACAAUAGCAUAGUACAGUUACAAACAUAGCAUAGUGGAGUCACUUAAUCAUACAUAAUAAUAUAGAGAUUAUGAUCAUCUUGCAUUACAACAUUGGUACAAAAGAGCAACACAGCAACACAACAACACAUCAACCAUAGCAUAGUGGUCUUCAUCUUCAUCUGAUCAGCUCAUCCAUCCAAAAUGUGCCUGAUCAUCUUCAACUUCUCUUGGUUCUUCUCUAAUGCCUUCAACUGGUCAGCAAUCUGGAUCUUCCGCUCAUCCCUACGUUUAAUCAGAUUCUCAAUUCCUUUCUUCAGACCAUCAAUGUGAAGGUUGAGCACCAAAAUUUCAUCAUUAAGUUUGUCCUUCUCCUUCAAAUGAUUUGCCUUCUGGGUCCUAAUGACCCCGCCUUGAGCUUCUGCAAGGUUGAUCAGUUGAUUCACAUCUUUUACUAGUUUGUCAUAGUUUGCAUCAAGAUUUCUUUUCUCCUCUGUGAGGUGGUGAAUUUUCAGUGAAUUAUCCAAAUUAUCAUCCCUCCUAGCACUCUUGCUAUCUUCCAACAUUUCCCACAGUUUUAACAAUGCAUUUUGCAUUGUGGGAGGCCACUCUUGGUCUACCCAACCAACAAAACCACAAUUUUGAGGUGGCUGCAAUACAAAAUAACCAGUACUUCAGCAAUACAAAAUAAGCAAAAAAUAACAAGCCAGAAUUCUGUAAUAAACAUGCAAUGACACUGAUGUAAUAAACAAGCAAUGACAGUGCUGUAACAAGCCAGAAUCUUUUAGCUAGACUAGCAAUGACAGUGAUGUAAUAAACAAUGAGAGUCUGAAUAUUUGAGCUAAACUAACAAUGACAAUGAUGUAGUAAACACUGACAGUCUGAAUCUUUUGAGCCAGAUAGAAAAAACAGAAGCAACUUCAUGCAUGUCUAACACUAAAGAAGAUAGAACUAACCGGCUGAGCACACACUAAAAUCUUCUCCCUGUCUCAAAUCCUUCGAAUUCUACGCGACGCUCAGGCGGCAGCCCAUGCUCCAAGCAAACAUCCACGGCAGAAUUCUCGAUGCCCAUGUAGUCUUCGUCCUCGAUUCUAGCAGGGAUUUAAAGAAGAACCAAGAAAUAGAGAUAAAUCCCCAAUGUGAAGAAACCGAAACCCUAAACCUAACCCUAGCCCUAGAAAUUACCUGGUACAUCAUGUCGUCCGAGGAAGAGUUGAUGUCCAGGCUCGAUAGGUCAUUGCUACUCUCAUCCUCGUAAACCAUGGCGCGGAAGAGGUGGUGGCGGCCGACGAGCUUCGGCGACGAGGGGGGCAGAGCGCGAGCAGAGUAGACUGGCUCGGCUGACCAGGUUCGAGCGAGACACAAAGACCGACCGAACCGGUUUGUGCCGACCAGGUUCAAGUGGGACAUUUUUUUUGAAGGUGUCUAUGCCAUUUGUUUUUCUUGUAAGAUGUCCCGGAUGGCAUGUGGCGGAUAGGAUGUUCCAGGAACUGUCACAUCGUCUAAAGAGGGAACUGCCACUUCGUCUCCCUCAUCUCCCUCGUCGCCUCGUCUCCUCGUCUCCCACUUCGUCUUCUCGCUCUCUCCUGUCGCACCGUCUCCCUCGUCGCCUCGUCUCCCACACCCAAUGGAGGGCGCUCGUCGCGCCGUCGCCGUUGCGGAUCUUGAGGUGCCGAUGCAGGAGAACACGACCGCAACCGCUGUCACCGCUGCGGAACUUGAGAAGGAGGUGCCGAAGCAGGAGGACACGACCGCAACCGCUGUCGCCGCUGCGGAUCUUGAGAAGGAGGACACGACCUCGAGCGGUGCUGCGCAGGCUCACGACGAUGAGGUGGGUUUUUUAGAUAGGGUUUUCUGGGUUUUUUAAAGUUGAUUCGUUCUUGAAUGCUACAUAGAUUUAUUGAGACUUGGAUUUCUUUAAUUUCAAUCUUGAUUUGUGCAUGUGGAUGUGGUAAUGCUUCCCGUUCCCCUGCUUUCAUAGUUAUCGUUGAUAAGCACGAGAUUUAGCAUAUAUUCAGAGAGCAGAACACACUCUGCUUUUGCAUGUGUUGGCGAACUUUUGCAUGUUGUUGGCUUGAAUCAACGGAAUCUUUCUCUUAUUAGUGAAGAUUUCACCUAGGUCAUGUGCUUGAUAUAUACGAACACCCAUUCCUAAAUUUCGCCUAGGUCUGCCCCCUCUCUUGCAUUGUAUUGGGAUUAUUAGUAAGGAUUUAAUAAGAGUUAGGUUUUGAAUUGGGAUCUUGAUUGCUGCAUGUGCUUAGAUUUUAUUAUGUGUUGGAUAUGUUGAUAGAUUUGUUGUGGUUAUCCCCUCACCGGGGCACGGCAGGGGCUGAGUAUCCCAAUAGUGCAAUGUUCUGCUAUAUAAAAUGCAGAACAAAGAGAAUCGUCUUAUGCAAACAGAUAAGAAAAGAUAAUGAAGUGAUACUUACAAAUUGCUUGCAGACAUCACAUUUUGGACGAAAGCGCUCCUUGUAACAAGUUUUAUGGUAUGGAUGGUUUCCUGACAUGGAGAACUGCAUGUUUUUGUUGGUAAGGUCAAUACCAAUGCAACUGCUUAAUGAAUACACAAAACAACAAAGAGCUACCUCAUAGUCUUAUAUUGGCUGAUUACAAGCAUGGCAGCAAAAGCACUCUCUAUGCCAAACAACUCCCAUGCAACUAAGAAAACGUCCAUGGCCAAUUUCAUUGUGACAUCCAGCACAUGUCCUGACAAAAGAAGUGUACACAUAACAUAUAGUUACAGAGUACAGAUAACUCCUGUAACUGAUUGCAAUCAGAGUGUUCUGGACCAACACAAUAUUCUCCUGGCAUGCUUUAAGAAACAAAUUAUACACACUCUCUUGUUUUUUUACCAGGUAUCUUUGUUAUUUUCUUUUGACAACAAUGGCAGAUUUCACACACUCAAGGCACUUCAUGUGAAGAUAUAAUUCAUAGUAUCGCACCCAAUGAUGUCUUUCCGCGCUUCAAUAACUACAUUAAAUGGUUUAUCAAAUAAAGACGGGGGCAAACCAGGUCUGACGGGUUUUUCUUUCAUGUCUAUGUUGGAUAUCCAAGUUUCAAACCACAGUUUGAUUUUUUGAAAGGACAUUUAAAUCUUUGUAUGAAGUAUCGAAAGAUUGUAUAAGUGAAAUGCACAAAGGACAGACCCAGUGCAGAGAAUAGGGUGUCUGAUGCAGCAGCACUAUGAAUGUAAUUAGAAGCACAUUGUUGAAUGCUUGACCUUUUGAAUACUGUGUUACAUAGUUUGUACUAAUCGAAUUACUUAUAUUGUAGGAAAAGGAAGCUGCGGGCAUGAAGAGGAAGCUCGCCAAGACUGGGUUCAAGAGCCCGUAUGACUCUGACUACGACGACGACGACCCGUAUGAGGUAAUCCCAACUAUUUUAGUUCAGCGUAAGCACUAUAUGAAUGCAUGUUGGUGGGCUUUUUAAUGAAAUUGAUGUAAAGAGUGUUUUAAUGUUGUUUGUUUAAUUAGAUUACUGUACACGACUUUUUUCUUUGUUUGUUCAUUAAAAUUUGGUAAAUGAGAAUUAUCUGAUGUUUGUUCAUUGCAUCAUUCUGAAUCAGAAGUGUGUGUUCUGGCUCCAUAAUGCCUAUAUGAAUGCAUAAUGUGUUCCUGCAAUUAAUUUAUGUGUACAGUAUAACUCUGGAGAUGACGUGGAGGACGGCAGCAAAGAGUCCUUCAUUGAGAAGGAAGCCCAGAAGAUGAGGGAGAAGGGGAAGGCGGCGUACUUCAAGAGGGGAAUGUUCAGAUGCCCAUACUGCACCACAAAGCCAAAGCCCAAGGAUGGCAUUUAUGAACGCCUUAUGUCGCAUGCACGUGGUUUAUCGACGAGUGCUGCAGACAUCAUGACCAGGGCAGAUCAUGCCGCCCUCCUGAAGGCUCUAGGUCCCAUUUAGUCACCGUCCAUGAUCCUACGCGGUUUAUCGAUGUCGUUGUGAACUGUUUUACUUUUGCGCAAAUGGCAGGUUGUUGUGAACUGUGUUGGAAUGUUAUGGCAGGUUGUUGUGAACUGUUGGAAUGUUCUAAUUUGAUGUUAUGGCUGCUUCUAUUUUGCUUCACUGAUCAUAAAUAGUGGGUCGACUGGUUAGCAACAGGCAACAUCUCAAUUCAUCUCUCUGAUGUAGAUAGCAACAACAACAACAACAUUUGCCGAUGGGUGAGGUGGCCGUGGCGUCAGCACCACCAUCGCUGGUCACCGCCCCCGUUGGUCACCGCCCCCAUCCCCGUCGNNNNNNNNNNNNNNNNNNNNNNNNNNNNNNNNNNNNNNNNNNNNNNNNNNNNNNNNNNNNNNNNNNNNNNNNNNNNNNNNNNNNNNNNNNNNNNNNNNNNUCAAGAACAUAUCCAUGAAGGUGGUCGUCGGACGAGCUUUACCUUCUGGCCCUGAUGCACGCUCGCAUGGCCGUGAGAUUCCAGCUAGCUUUGCUAAAGUCGGGGUGGAUGAAAUCAUGACGGGGUUUAGUGAUAUGGAGCUCGACNNNNNNNNNNNNNNNNNNNNNNNNNNNNNNNNNNNNNNNNNNNNNNNNNNNNNNNNNNNNNNNNNNNNNNNNNNNNNNNNNNNNNNNNNNNNNNNNNNNNNNNNNNNNNNNNNNNNNNNNNNNNNNNNNNNNNNNNNNNNNNNNNNNNNNNNNNNNNNNNNNNNNNNNNNNNNNNNNNNNNNNNNNNNNNNNNNNNNNNNNNNNNNNNNNNNNNNNNNNNNNNNNNNNNNNNNNNNNNNNNNNNNNNNNNNNNNNNNNNNNNNNNNUCCUCCGCCGCCCGCUCCAGAUACAAAGCGGGAGCGUGCCACCAAGAACGCUCCGCCGACGAUUCCUAAGCCACAGAGCCCCCCAAAGCGCAAACGGUCGCCCUCCCAAAGGUACGUCAUGCUAAUCUUCCUAUCAGACCUUAUGGUCGUAUCCCGAGGAAAACGCCAGGAUACCAAAGGAACAUCAUGAUGCGCAGAUGAAAAAGAAGGAACCCGAGCCCCGUUCGGAAUACACCGAGAAGCAAAUAGCAUUUGCAAAAUACUUCACGACCCUUCCAUCACAGUAUGAGUUACACCAUAAGCCUGAUGACUAUACACGCACAUUGCAGAAGGAAGUGAAAAAGAGCAGAUCACCUCCAAGCCCUCCACAUGACGUCGGCCAGCACAACACGAGUCCAUCUCGAUCACUGCCGCCGGACUUGGGUCGUCCAUCUCCGCCGCUGCCCGGUUCGGAUACUAAGAGGGAGCGUGCCACCAAGAACGCUCCACCGACGAUUCCUAAUCCACGGAGCCCCCCAAAGCGCAAACGAUCGCCCCUCCCAAAGGUAUGUAAUGCUAAUAUUCCUAUCAUACCUUAUGAUUGUACCCUCGAGGAAAACGCCGGGAUAGCAAAGGAACAUCAUGAUGCGCAGAUGAAAAAGAAGGAACCCGAGCCCCGCCCGGAAUACACCGAGAAGCAAAUAGCAUUUGAAAAAUACUUCACGACCCUUCCAUCAUAGUAUGACUUACACCAUAAGCCCGAUGACUAUACACGCACAUUGCAGAAGGAAGUGAAAAAGAGCAGAUCACGUGCAAGUGCAAGUGGGAGCAAAUCAAGUUCAACUACAAGCAAAAAAAGAUCAGACGUUCCUCAGCUUGGACAACAGGCCAAACGAAGCAAGAAAAAAUCAAACGUUCCUCAGCUUGGACAAUAGGCCAAACAGUCGAUCCCACCCCUUAAGGUGUUAACCGAGAAUGUCCCCCCUCCGGUGCAGGGGCUAGCUUUUGAAAUAGCAAAGGAGUUGGCGGCUGAAUGUGGUGUCUCGGUUGAAGAUUUGCUGGCUUCCCAAGACGACAGGAUACCCAAGGCUGUGGUAGCCCCUAAGCCACAGUNNNNNNNNNNNNNNNNNNNNNNNNNNNNNNNNNNNNNNNNNNNNNNNNNNNNNNNNNNNNNNNNNNNNNNNNNNNNNNNNNNNNNNNNNNNNNNNNNNNNAACAUAAUUAAAAAACUACAAAUAAAAUUUAAUUAAACAUUAUUAAAUUCUAAUAAAUCCUAAUCUAAUCGGAGUCUAGGUAGAUGACGGCGGCCCCGUCCACCGCGCCGUCGCCAUCUUCGCCGUCGUCGUCGGAGCUCUUGGCGAGGGCGUCCCAGUCGACGUCGUCGUCAUCGCCGACGGGUGGCGGGUUUGCCCCACUGCCGCCGUCGCCUGGAUCGCCGCCGCGAUCUCUGCCUCUUCCCUCGCCGCCGCGGCCGCCGCCGUCGCUUGAGACGCCCGCAUGGCGACGAGUAGCCCCGGCGAGUCGUCGGGGUCGCCGUCCUCGCGGAGGACGAACUGUUCCGGCGGCACUUCAUACUCCGUCGGGACAGCCGGGGCCACCACCGGGGCCGCCGGAGGUGGGUGGGGGAUCGCCCCCCGACGGCGACGCGGGAUGCCGCCGGCGCCGCCUGCCUGCCGCCUCCUGCCGGUAACGCCUGAUGACGUCGUUGUAGUUCUUUCCGUCUCAAUAGUCGUGCCGGCCGCGGGUGUUGUAGCGGCCGCCGGGAUGGACCCGGAGUUGCUCCGGCGUCGAGGGGUUGUCCAGCGUCGGAUAGCCGUCCUUGCAAAUCCUCCACGGUAUUGCAAGGCGGCACCCCGGCGGGACGAGGAGGCCGAAGUCGUAGAGCUCCUGCUCAGAGGCUUGUCGAGGCUCUGAGGCCAGUUGCUCUCCGACGCACCGCCGCCGCCGGAGCUGCUGCCGCCGGCGUGAUCCAUCGUCGGGACGACGGAGAACGGGGGAGGGAGAAGAGAACGUCGGGACCAGCGGCGGGACGACGAAGAGCGAGGGAGAGAAGGAGAGCAGGGGAGCGACGGGUGUGCCGACGAGCCGCGGGACAACGGGUAUAUAUAGCGCAGCGACGGGAGGGGAGGCGACGGGGCAGCUGGCCGGCGUAACUCCCCCGGAGUGAAUGCGCGUCGCCUCGGGAGUCGUCGAACCAGCGGGCCAGCGGCGACGGCGUCAGAAACCGACGCGACUGGGCUCUGACGACGCGCCGCCAUUAAUGGCGUCGCCUCGGGAGCCGGCGAACCAACGGGCUAACGGUGGCAUCGGAUGACGGGGCGUUGACGCGGCGAUUAAUGGCGUCUUCGGGAACUGACGAGACGAGCUGGCGACGGGGGCGCUGAUGCGGUGGUUAAUGGCGGCGGCUUCGGGAACCAACACGGACUGGCAACACANNNNNNNNNNNNNNNNNNNNNNNNNNNNNNNNNNNNNNNNNNNNNNNNNNNNNNNNNNNNNNNNNNNNNNNNNNNNNNNNNNNNNNNNNNNNNNNNNNNNUAUUUUUGGUUGCAAUAGAAAUGCAUGUUUAGGUGUUGUUUGCUUGCUCUCAAGUUGCUAGAAAUAGUGCUGAUUUGGAGGAGCUGAAAUAUUUCUCAGUCUGGGAUCUGUUAUAUUUUGUUGCUGUCUUGUCUUGAUUGCAUCUUGUGAUCUGUAGCUAUUUUGAGGUUGGUCCAAUGGAGUUAGUUGUACCCCUUGUGUUUCUCUAGCAUGUUAUAAAUUUUCAUGGCAUUUGGAGUCCUGUAGCUAUAGGUUUUGCUGCUGUCAAUAUUGCUUCAGAUCGAAAACUGCACUUUCAUGAGGUGUAAUUUUCACUAAGUCUGAAAUAGUGUGUGAGAUGCCAUUUUGUGUCUUCUUGUCCUAGAGCUCCUUGCUGCCAUGCUAGUUGUUGUUAGUUGUUUGUAGUAGAGCGUCUUGCCUUCUUUCGUGCCAUGCCUUGCUUGAGUUUAUCGGAGUUGUGUAGCCGUAGUUGUGGGGCGUAGAAAGUGCUAUGUGGCUGAUUUUGGCAGCUUUUAGUGAGUUCUUGAUUUGCUCGUAUCUUUUGAACCGUAACUCCAUUUUGAUCGUGCCCUACAUGAAACUUGCUUAGAAUCUCGUGUAGUUUCAUUUUCUCUUGCUGGUUGUAUGAUUUGAAGUGCUCGUAGCCGUCGUUGCACACAUAUUGCCUUCAUGCCAUCAUAUCUNNNNNNNNNNNNNNNNNNNNNNNNNNNNNNNNNNNNNNNNNNNNNNNNNNNNNNNNNNNNNNNNNNNNNNNNNNNNNNNNNNNNNNNNNNNNNNNNNNNNUCUUCCGUUAUCCUUUGAGGUGGUAUUAUAGCAUUCUUGUUAGUGUAGGAGUCUCGAAGAGAUUUCAAGUAUAAGAUAAUUAAAACCACCAAUUCUAUGAUCAUGAGAUUUUUCAACCCAUGAUUUCUUAAUUGAGCUAUCUUGGUGUGGAUUUCACCUAAAGCUUUUCCAAUGGACUAUGCUAUCAUGGUGCUUGUCAUUAAUCCAAGUUCUCAAUGUAUCCUCUUGGUGUAAGAAUUGUUCAUAUCUUGUUUAUCCCAAUCUUUCCAUGUUUCUUUUAGUGGUUGGUUGUCACCUCAUAUUUGUUGAGAUGAUUUUCAUAAGCCCACUACUAUCUUCUUCUUCGUUGUUUCUUUCCAACUACUACGUCAAUUCUCUGUCUGGAGGGUCUUCAAUUCUGUUGUGAUGAUAGUUGUCAUUCUUUUCUUCAUUCUCUUCUUCCGUAUGAGCUAGUUCCUAUUCUAUUGUUCUGGAGGCAUUGUGAUAUUUCUCUUUUGGGUCUAUCUUGUUGUUCUAUCAAGAUCAUGGUGUUCCCUUGCUCUAUUUACUUGUUUGUUGUGAAUAUUGUCUAAUUCUCCUACCUUUUCGAAUUUUUUGUCCCAUUUUCCUACCGAAGUGCUGCCGAAAUUUUUCGUGAAUUCUUGCUUGUUUCUCAUAUCAUUCCUCAUCUCUUUGCAACCUUCAAGGAUUGUUGGUGUCACUCGUUUGUCCAAGAAGCAACUAAGUUUUACCUUUUGCUUUUCUGAUCCUCUCCCCCUAUCAUUCUUGGAUCUCGGGGCGAGAUCCUCUUGUAGUGUAGGAGAGUUGUGACAGCCCGAUGCCGACGUUCCAGAAGAUUCCCUUUCCUUUCCGUUUUCGUCGUGUGUCUAUUUUAUUCUGUCGCAUCAUCAUCGCAUCAUGUGCAUCAUCAGCAUUGCAUUGGCAUCCCGUUGCCGCACGUUUUCAAAACUUGCAUCCGUUGUUAGUUGCCGGUUAUCGUCGUUGUCCGUUCUGAGCCCGACCUCACACGCACGCGCUCGCGGCAUCGUCAAGACCCUGUUUUAAAAGUGUGCGUGAAACUUUCUCUGAUCGGGCUGAGAUCGGACGUGCGGUGUUAUUUUAAUAUAGCUAGGCCGCCUGUCGAAUUUCGUCGCGAUCGGAGUCCGUCUGGUACCCGAACGGUCAACCGUAGCUGCACCGUAUUCGGUCUAUCGUCGCACUUUUUCGGUGUUUUAAAAUCGCGUUGCCGCGCCGCACCGUUUCCCUCUCUUCCCCGGUUAGCCUACUCUACAGGUUCACUUAGCCGACCCCGCGUUCGAGUUCGUACAAUUCCGAUCGCGUGGGCGAAAACGGGACCGAAUUCGGAUAACCCUAGCUCCCCCCCGUUUGUCUAUAUAUAGACCCCAUGGCAUUAAUUAGAUAGCCACUCCCUCUUCACCUCGUUUUCCGUGCCCCUCCGAACCCUAACCGCGUAGCCACCCACCUCCAGCCUCCUCUCUCCUCUUGCGGGCCCGCCCAGGCCCAUCUGGAGCCCUCCGNNNNNNNNNNNNNNNNNNNNNNNNNNNNNNNNNNNNNNNNNNNNNNNNNNNNNNNNNNNNNNNNNNNNNNNNNNNNNNNNNNNNNNNNNNNNNNNNNNNNCUUAGUUCAUGAUAAUCGUUUAUUAUCCAUGCUAUAAUUGUAUUGAUUGGAAACACAAUACUUGUGUGGAUACAUAGACAAAACACUGUCCCUAGUAAGCCUCUAGUUGACUAGCUCGUUGAUCAAAGAUGGUCAAGGUUUCCUGGCCAUAGGCAUGUGUUGUCACUUGAUAACGAGAUCACAUCAUUAGGAGAAUCAGGUGAUGGACUAGACCCAAACUAAUAGACGUAACAUGNNNNNNNNNNNNNNNNNNNNNNNNNNNNNNNNNNNNNNNNNNNNNNNGGACAAAACACCGUCCCUAGCAUGCCUCUAGUUGGCUAGCCAGUUGAUCAAUGAUAGUCAGUGUCUUCUGAUUAUGAACAAGGUGUUGUUGCUUGAUAACUGGAUCACGUCAUUGGGAGAAUCACGUGAUGGACUAGACCCAAACUAAUAGACGUAGCAUGUUGAUCGUGUCAUUUUGUUGCUACUGUUUUCUGCGUGUCAAGUAUUUGUUCCUAUGACCAUGAGAUCAUAUAACUCACGGACACCGGAGGAAUGCUUUGUGUGUAUCGAACUUCGCAACGUAACUGGCAUGUAUUUAUUUCUAUGACCAUGAGAUCAUAUAACUUACUGACACCGGAGGAAUGCUUUGUGUGUAUCAAACGUCGCAACGUAACUGGGUGACUAUAAAGAUGCUCUACAGGUAUCUCCGAAGGUGUUCGUUGAGUUAGUAUGGAUCGAGACUGGGAUUUGUCACUCCGUGUGACGGAGAGGUAUCUCGGGGCCCACUCGGUAAUACAACAUCACACACAAGCCUUGCAAGCAAUGUGACUUAGUGUAAGUUGCGGGAUCUUGUAUUACGGAACGAGUAAAGAGACUUGCCGGUAAACGAGAUUGAAAUAGGUAUGCGGAUACUGACGAUCGAAUCUCGGGCAAGUAACAUACCGAAGGACAAAGGGAAUGACAUACGGGAUUAUAUGAAUCCUUGGCACUGAGGUUCAAACGAUAAGAUCUUCAUAGAAUAUGUAGGAUCCAAUAUGGGCAUCCAGGUCCCGCUAUUGGAUAUUGAUCGAGGAGUCUCUCGGGUCAUGUCUACAUAGUUCUCGAACCCGCAGGGUCUGCACACUUAAGGUUCGACGUUGUUUUAUGCGUAUUUGAGUUAUAUGGUUGGUUACCGAAUGUUGUUCGGAGUCCCGGAUGAGAUCACGGAUGUCACGAGGGUGUCCGGAAUGGUCCGNNNNNNNNNNNNNNNNNNNNNNNNNNNNNNNNNNNNNNNNNNNNNNNNNNNNNNNNNNNNNNNNNNNNNNNNNNNNNNNNNNNNNNNNNNNNNNNNNNNNCCCAGGGUUACCUAUUUCACCACACAGCGUUUUGCUCUUCCCCUCAUCCCAUUUGAUUGUUUUUCUCCCAUUUCUACUUUUUCUCAACAGUUUUCUUGAGAAUUCGCCUCAACUGUUUUCCCUCCAACUUCUAGUUUGUGGGCAUUCAUACAUAUUACUAACAGUCUCAGGUGGAUGCCAGUUAGAGGCAGCGUGAAUGACAACCAUAUGCUAUAUGCAAGCUAACAUUUGAAAGAGAGAGAUUUAGUUGUUAUGUCUUCAUUACUGAACAACAUUACUUAGAGCAUCUUUAACAGACCCUGUAAAAGAAGAUCCUUAAAAACGCGUAUAAGGGGAACUAUAAAUCGUGUUUACGGCGCGAAAUUGCCUCGGACAGAGAGACCCCGUAAAUGAAACUAUAUCCUAGGGAGCUCAUUUUUUUUUUCCUUUUUUCCUCCCCUCCCGGCGAGCCGUCUCCGGUCAUGGCAUGCCUCGCCCUGGCACCCCGGCAUGCCCCGGCGCUGCCCGCCUCGCCCCCGCAUCGUCCCAGUGCCGUCCGUUCCGGGCCACGCAUAUGGUGGAGGAGCCCUGCGCCGCCCAUCCUGACAGCACGCUCCUUGACGCGCCCGCCCGUCCCCGAUUUGAGCCCGACACUGUCCGACACAGCACGCGCGUUCCCCGACUUGGCCGCGCGAGCACCCCCAUCCCUGCCUAGCUCUUCUUCAGUCCACCCUGCCCUGAUUCGGGCCGCCGGUGGCCUGCUUUGCCCUCCCCGUGGACGGCCUCGCCUCGGCAGUGGAGGUCGAGCUGGCUGUAAUUCGGACAGGCGGCGACAAAUUCCGGCAUGCGGCGGCUUCUUCCGACAUGCGACGACGGAUUCCGAUGAGCUCCAGGUAGAUUCCGGCCAGUUCCGCGGUGGCGCGUUUGCUCCGACGAGGUUUGACCAGUUUACUGGUUGAACUGUAUAAUGCCUCCAAAACUGCACAUAUAAGGUUUUCGCGGAUGGAUUUACCAAGCCCCUUAAAAAGUUCACGGGUCAAACAAGUUUUACGGGGUCUGAUCCGUGCCGUUUUUUCGAUCGAAACCGUAAACACGUCGUUUUUUUACGGGUUUGACCAUUAUACGGGGUCUGCUAUAGAGAUGCUCUUAUGUGCCAGUUAUGCUUAGUUAGAUUGUCCCAUGUUAACAUCACCCCUCUUUCCGUAAAUAACCGUUCGUAUUAUCCUUCUCCUGACGAGGAUUUACGACAGCUUGUCACCAUGAUUUCAGACUUCCUCGAAGACAAACAGUAUGGCUUCAAAAUUUAAACUAUCCUUUAAUAUAUUUUUUGAACCACUAUUCACUAGUACUCCCUUUGUCACGAUUUAAAAGACAUGGUUAAAUUUACGUGCAUUUUCAUAAUAGACAAGGUUUAACACGUAUUGCAUUUACUCCUAACAACUAAUUGUUACUUCGUUAUAUUCAUGGGUGCGUAGUGUGAAUGUUGAUUUCAGUCCAUAUCAUAGCCAAUCAAUAACUACCUAGGUUCGAGAUAAUUUUUAAGUACGCCUUCUAAACCGUGACGGCGGUAGUACAUAUAGUAUGGGUCCAAGUAUUUAGGUGUAUGCGUACGUUUUUUACAUUUCUCAUGUAUAAGCAAAAAAUUUAUAACAAUAAUUGUACGUUAUCCUAAAUUCACAAAACUCUGAAAUAAAACUAUGCGGUAUUAUAAAUUUUAAUUAUAGUGCUUAUGAGCUGAAAUCUCCACUUAUCUAAAGAAGCCCCAGGGUUACCUAUUUCACCACACAGCGUUUUGCUCUUCCCCUCGUCCAACAUCUUUACACCCCUUCCCCUCUUCCCAUUUGAUAGUUUUUCUCCCAUUUCUACAUUUCUCAACAGUUUUCUUGAGAAGUCGCCUCAACUGUUUUCCCUCCAACUUCUAGUUUGUGGGCAUUCAUACAUAUUACUAACAGUCUCAGGCGGAUGCCAGUUAGAGGCAGCGUGAAUGACAACCCAUAUGCUAUAUGCAAGCCAACAUUUGAAAGAGAGAGAUUUAGUUGUUACGUCUUAAUUAUAGAACAACAUUACUUAGAGCAUCUGUAAAAAAAGAUCCUUAAAAACACGUAUAAGGGGCACUAUAAAUCAUUUCUACGAAGCGAAAUUGCCUCGGACAGGGAGACUCCGUAAAUGAAAUUAUAUCCUAGUGUAGCUCAUUUUUUCCCUUUUUUCCUCCCCUUCCGGCGAGCUGUCUCCGGUCAUGCCAUGCCUCGCCCUGGCACCCCGGCUAGCCCGACGCCGCCCGCCUCGAUCCAGUGCCGUCCGUUCCGGGCCACGCAUGCAGUGGAGGAGCCCUGCCCGGACUGCCCCGACCGCACACUCCUUGGCGCGCGCCCGUCCCAGAUUUGAACCCGACACUGCCCGACACCGCACGGGCGUUCCCCGACUUGGCCGCGCGAGCACCCCCAUCCGUGCCUCGCUCUUCUUCGGUCCACCCUGCCCUGAUUCGGGCCGCCGGUGGCCUACUCCGCCCUGCCCAUGGACGGCCUCGCCUCGGCAGUGAAGGUUGAGCUGGCUGCAAUUCAGACAGGCGGCGACAAAUUCCGGCGUGCGGCGGCUUCUUCCGAGAUGCGGCGACGGAUUCCGAUGAGCUUCAGGUAGAUUCCGUCCAGUUCCGUGGUGGCCGUUUGCUCCAACGAGGUUUGACCAGUUUACGGGUUGAACUGUAUAAUGCCUCCAUAACUGCACAUAUAAGGUUUUCGCGGAUGGAUUUACCAAGCCCCUUAAAAAGUUUAUGGGUCAAACAAGUUUUACGGGGUCUGAUCCGUGCCAUUUUUUAACCGAAACCGUAAACACGUCGUUUUUUACGGGUUUAACCAUUAUACGGGGUCUGCUAUAGAGAUGCUCUUAUGUGCCAAUUAUGCUUAGUUAGAUUGUCCCAUGUUAACAUCACCCCUCUUUCCGUAAAUAACAACUAGCUAGUACAAAUGUCCGUGCGGGCUAUAAAUUUAAUAAAAGUUGGCCCUUGUAAUUUUUUUUUAUAAUUAAUUAAUUUCUAUGACUAACUGUUUCAUUUGCAAUUUUGUUUUGUUAAUUAAUGAUAGCAUAUGGAUUAGAACAUUUUUUUUAUCUUGCUGAUAUAUGUGUUUGCAUUUGUAAUCUAAGGGAGUCUUAAUUUGGUUGCAAACAUAUUAGACAGCUACAUCGAAAACAAUCAAUUUGUAAGUACAUGCAUACCAAAUGUUCCAGGUUGCGUAUCAAUAUCGAUAUUCUUAAAAAAAUAAUUAGCAAAACAGUUUAUAUAUAUGAAAAAUCAAAGCUCAGCCAUUUGUUUGCGUAAAGCUUGUAUAAAGAACAUUGUAUAUUUUUUAUACAUUAGAAACAUUUUUUUGCGUGUGACCUCACAAACAUUAUUGAGUUUUGAUGUCUAAUUUUUUUAAUACGCAUUUUACAUAUUUUGUAUGCAUCAUAAAUAUUUUUUAUAUACAUGCUUUACAUUAUUCAAAUACACGAUUAACAGUUUUGAAAACUUCUUUUUUUUAUGUCUACUUUGUUUCAUACACAUUAUAUAUUUUUGUAUAUGUUUUCUUAUACACCGGAAACAUUUUCCUAUGCACAUUUAAAGUCUUUUAAAUACAUGAUCAAUAUUUUUCAAAAUAAAAGAAAAAUAUAUUAUUUAUUGUCCAUACGCAUUGUACACUUUUUUGUCUACAAAUUUGACAUUUUUUUAAUCCAUGAUUAACAUGUGUGCAAAGUUUAUCGAAAUAAAGGCAAAAGAGAAAAAAAUCGAAAAAGUGCGAAAUAGAAGAACAAAAAGGGUUGUACAUUUUUUUAUUGUCCAUACGCAUUGUACAUUUUUUUGUAUAUGUGGGAACUUUUUUGUCUACAAAUUUAACUUUUUUUAAUCCAUGAUUAACAUGUGUACAAAGUUUAUCGAAAUAAAGGCAAAAGAGAAAAAAAAUAAAAAAAAAGUGCGAAAUAGAAGAACAAAAAGGGUUGUACAUUUUUUUAUUGUCCAUACGCAUUGUACAUUUUUUUGUAUAUGUGGGAACUUUUUUGUCUACAAAUUUAAUAUUUCUGUAAUACAUGAUUAACAUGUGUGCAAAGUUUAUCAAAAUAAAGCCAAAAGAGAAAAAAAAGUGCAAAAUAGAAGAACAAAAAGGGGUUGUAAGCCUCAGUGCAAAUUGAACUUGGGUCUCCUGGUUGGUUGGGCGCGCACCCAACCAGUUGGCCUAGCCUGCUCUUGUGAUGAAAUAUGGGAACGGCGUCCUUUAGAAUGAGAAACAAAUAGCCGAAUCGAAGUUCAAAAACGAAUCGUUUUUGUCACUUACGGGUGGCAUUGGUGGGUAAUUUUGACGAACUUUAGGAUAAAUUUAAUGACGUACCACAUAAGCAAUAGGCGCUUUAUUAAUAGGUAUAGAAUGGCAAUUUUUAAGAUUAGAGGUAACUAUAGUUUCCAAACUAUUUUAGUUUUUACCAGGCCAUAGUAGUGUACAAGUGCAGGAUACAUUUAAUGAACUGCGAACUAUCCAUUCUAGUGGAAAUUCUGCCGAAACUUCCCCUGAUCGUGUGACCAAACAAAUAUAUUCUUAUGGAUAUUCGAACUCCUUUAUUGCCUUUUUUUCAGUAAGCACAACUUUUAUUUAUAUAUAUUUGCAGGUACUUUAUUGUACUUGAUGAUAUACGGGAUGUGGAAAUAUGGAAGGUUAUUGAGUGUGCAUUUCCCACAACUAGUUCUGGUAGUAAAAUAAUUAUCACUACCCGCAUACAUGGGGUCGCUCAAUCAUGUUGUUCAACUUUCAGAGGACAUGUAUACAAUAUAAGGCCUCUUAGUAUGGUGCAUUCGAGGCAAUUAUUCUAUGCAAGACUAUUCAACUCUGAAGAAAAAUGUCCAUCAUACCUUCAAGGGAUUUCUGGUCCGAUCUUGGAUAAAUGUGCUGGCUUACCUUUGGCAAUCAUAGCUAUAUGUGCUGUAUUGGCUGAUAAGGCAAGUGAAAAUGGAAUAUGGGAGCAAGUAAAGGAUUCAAUUGGUGCGGCACUACAAAACUCUAUCGGCGAAGACAUGGUACACAUAAUAUCCCUUAGUUACUUGGAUCUUCCUCCUCAUCUCAAAACGUGUCUAUUGUACCUGAGCAUAUUUCCAGAGAGGCACAAUAUUGAGAAGGAGAAUCUGAUAAGGCGGUGGAUUGGCGAGGGAUUCAUUCAGAAAAGAGUUGGUUAUACAAUAUAUGAGUCGGGGGAGAUGUGUUUCAAUGAGCUCAUCAAUAGGAGGUUGAUCCAGGCUGCAAAGAUGGACGAGACAUUUGGGGACGAGGUGAAGAGUUAUCGUGUUCAUGGCACUGUUCAUGAUUUCAUUGUAUCUAAGGCUGUUGAAGGGAACUUUGUUACUAUAAUAGGUGUACAUGGUGUUAUAAAUCCUGAUACCAAGGCCAAGAUUCGUCGAGUGUCUUUACAGAAUGACGGCAAGAUUCUGUCGGGUCUUGAUGUAUCUAGUGCCCGAUCACUCCAUGUAUUUGGUCGUAAUGUGAAGAUCCCAUCUUUGUCAGAGUUUCCACUCUUGCGUGUUCUGGACUUUGAGGAUUGUUCACAGUUAGAAGAUGAUCACCUUGCAGGUAUUGGAAAUUUGUUGCACCUCAAGUACCUGAGGUUCAAACAUGCGAAUGCCGUCAAGAAGCUUCCAGAGCAGGUGGCAAGGCUGCAACAUUUGAAGAUUGACGUGAAAGGAUACAAAAAACUAAUGGAAAUCCCUAUGACCAUCCAAGAACGGUUGGACUGUUAUGUAACUCUACAUGUCGAUGGUUAUGAAACAGUACCGGAUGAAAUUGCGGCCAUUGAGGGAUUGCGAGUGUUGGAAGGUCUCAAUAUUUAUACUCAGUCAACGGAAUUUCUAAAGAGGCUUGGCCAACUCAAAAAACUGAGGAAGCUGGGCAUAAUAUGGAACAUGUAUGAUAUGGGUAAUUGUGAUGUUAAUUUCGAGAAAGAGGAGGAGGAGAUCGAGGAGGAUGAGGAGGAGUUUCUCUCUUCCAUAUGUGAGCUCAGCAAAACAGGCCUUGAG